rnacentral:lncRNA from 1 species
UUACCUUUGUGUUCGAAGUUGUUCUAUUGACAUAGAAAAUCCGAAAACUCUCCAAGUACGAUAAGAGCAGGGUUUUGUUAAAAAUAAAAUCAGAUCAAAAUGGAAUUGUGAAAUUAGAUGGUUGACGAAGCAUUGAAUCAAAUCUCAUGCUGUAGAAAAGAAGAGUGAAAUUUGGGGAUUUGAUUAAUAGAAACAUGGAGUCAUGGAGGCACUUGUACCGGAAACACACGCUAUAACCCAAACGACCCUUCCCACGUCCGUUGAAUUUUGUGGAAUGACGAUUUUGUCCUCUUACGAUUGCGUGCCGCAUAACAAUUACUCUAGAAAAAUAUAAAUCAUCAAAGUUAUUGAUUUUUGACUGAACUACAAAUUUGGUCUCUGUGGUUUGAUAAAAUCCAACUUUUUUUAUUUAUUUAUUUAUUUAUUUUUUUAACUUACAACAUCUGUCUAAAAACUGAAAUAUUUUAUGGUUUAGUCUUUAAAAAAGUUAAACGUCAAUUUUACUCUUUUAAUUUCUUUUAAAUUAUAUUAUAUUUUCUUAAUUAUACAAUAAUAAAAAAAAUUAAGAAUCCCUCUCUCUCUCUCUCUCUCNAAAAUGGAACCCACCCCACCCCCACCUUCCACCGUACUCUCUCUCUCUCUCUCAACUACAUCUUCAUCUUCAUCUUCUCUAAAUAUCAACCAAUUUCAACCCUCCUUUUCUAAUGAAUCAUCCUUUUAAGCAUGUUUAACUCUUGUUUUUUAAAUCAAGCACACACCCUUCUAUCGUAAUCCCAUAUGAGACUCUUACCAACCUCAUCACCAUCGUAGUCCUCUUGCUCCUCCACUCCCUUUCUCGUUGAAAUCCACCUUCGACGCCAUUGUCUUUCAUAGUGAGAUGCAUACGAGUUCUCCAGCAAUAGAUGGUAUGUGUUGAGCCUUGUUAGAGGUGGGUCUAGAGGAAGAAAAAGAAGAAGAACAAAGUGGCCGAUGUUUCUCAAUUUUGAUUUUUUGCUCAAAUGGGUGUUAAAGGAUUCGUUGAAGGUGGUAUCGCCUCCAUCAUCGCUGGUUGUUCUAUUCACCCCAUUGACCCCAUUAAAAUUCGUUUGCAGUUACAAGGUGAAUCCACCCGUAUUUUCGCUCUCAAUGGCCCUAGCAGUGCAACAAUCACUGUGCCAAGUAGGGAUGUUAUUCGAGCCGAACCGAACCUAACCGACCCAAACCUAAAUAACCCGAGAACCGAAUAAGGGUAAUUGUAUGAGCCGAAAACCGAACCAAAUAAGCAAUACGAGUUUAGUUCGGUUCGGGUAUUAUUCGGUUCGGUUCGAUCCCGAUCCGAAUAACUCAAAUAACACGUACAAGAUGAUUAAUGAUCUAAUAUAACCGAAAAGAACCGAAUAAACUGUAUUAUGAUUCUAUAACUUGAAUAACAUUUACAAUAUGAUUAUAAAUAUUGUAUUUUGUAUGACUUUUGUAGCUAAUGUUUUCAUAACAAAUCUUUUAAAGAAACAAAUUGUUAAAUUAAAAUAAUGCAAAGUAUAUAAACACGAAUUAGUAUAGUAAGAAUGUAAACAUGAAUUAACUAUUCUUGAUAUAUAAAAUGUAAAUUCAAAACACCCAAAAAUCCAAAAAUCCAUAUGUAAGUAUAUUAGUUAAACAUUAAACAUUCAACAAUCAACAAUCAACACCCAAACUAAAAUAUGAAUAUUAAGUUUUUAACCAUAUCCAAAAUAACAUUCGUCAAACAUGAAUUAACUAUUCAAGAAUAUCCAUUUAUUGUUUUCCCUUUCCAUCUCCAUUGUUUAUUGCAUCUUCUAAAGCUUCCGCGACCUCAUCGUCUUUCAAAAUUUCAUCAAUGUUGCCCACAAUUGGUUUUCUUGAUUUCCUUACCCAAUCUUGGGUGCAAACCAAAGGCUCUCCUAUAUUUGCGAACAAGUUUUUUCGAUAUGGAUCGAAUAUUCGUCCGCUUGUACUAAAUGUCUCCUAUGAUGCCACGGUAGAGAUUUGCAGUCCCAAAAUAUCUAUCAACGUAAACAUAGAAAGGGUUAAAAUAUAAUUCUAAAAAAAGUAUACAAAUAAUAAAGUUAUACCUUUCGCUAUACGUGAUACAAUAUGAUAAAGAGAUGCAUUUUGUAACGCCCAGUUCCUGGUAUGUAUAUUUAAUAAAAUUUAUUCACUUUUAUAAGAGAACUCGACGAGUUGGAGGCCCCAAACUCGUCGAGUAUGAAUUAUUUUUUGGGACACGGGUUAAGAAACAUCUCGACGAGUUAGGAGCCCCAAAUCGAAGAGUAGGGCUGGCAGAGUGAAACCCUAAUUUCAUGGUUUUUGCACCCUAUUUAAACACAUUAAUCCCUAAAGGUUGGCCUCAUUUACCGUCUCCAAGUCCCAAAACCCUAGCCACGAAACCCUAGAUCCUUGUGUGAGCUUGUGAGACCUUUUUAGAGAAAACGUGUGCUUUUGAAGCUUGUGGAAGAAGAGGAAGCUAGAGGACUCAAGAAGAAGAGAAUAGAUCCAGAAGUUAAGCUCCAUUUCUGGUUCAAUAAAGGUAAAAAGCUCCUAACUUGUCCAUUGUGUGCUUAGAUCUCUUCAUCUCCACUUUUGUUGAGGUUUCAGUCUAAGUAGCUUGGUCCUUGGGAAAUGGAAGUCCCAAGUGAUUUACCUUUCAAAUAUGGGGUCUAGAAGGGGUUUGAUGGCAUAAAGGUGUAAACUUUAUGGCCAUGGAAACCCAUGCAAGCUUCAAGGUAUCAUUUUGACCUUUUAAGCCCCAAAAGGCCAUGCAUGGAGGGACAGUCUGAGACUUUACGUGUUUAUUUGGUGUCUAGGGCCUAGAUCUCAGUUUUCAUGCUUUGGUUUGGAGUAUUAUGGCUUUUGGACCAAGAUUUAUGUCUUAAAGGAUUAGGGUUUGAGCUAAACCCAUUAAAGGAAGCUAUUAACAAGUAAAGUUGGAAACUUUACCCUUAAAAGGACCUUUUCAGUGUGUAGAAGAAGUGUGGAGUCCCAAUCUGAAGGAUAGGAGCUUAAUCUAUUAAGAUGACCCAAUAGACUAAAGAACUCGUCAAGUCCAUAGAGGAACUCGACGAGUUGGGUUGAAAUGUCCCAAUUCUGUAAAAGGGAAAACUCAACGACUUUAAGGAUGACUCGACGAGUAGAAUGGGAAAGUCCUGAUACCAUGGAUAGGAGGAACUCGUUGAGUUGUGAAAGAACUCGACGAGUUAGAUUGCGAGUUCAGAGUUUUCGGAUUUAUGGAACUCAACAAAUUGAUGGGUCAACUUGGCGAUUUAAGACAACUCGGAACGUUGAAUUUGACCAAAGUUGACCCUUAAGGGGUUAUGAGCAUGAAAAUGGGUGACUAAAGGAAAUAUUUAUGUGUAGGAGUUUGAGUGGGGCAGAUUUCAGAGCCGAUGAUAGUUCAGCUUCACAACAUUUGAGAUGAGUUACCUUCCAGUAGAGGUGGGUCGAAGGCACCAAUGCCGGCCCACUAGUAAGAGUUAUAGUAGAGAUAAUUGUCUUUGUGACAAUUAUCUGGUAUGCCAUUGUUUGUUAUGCUUUAUGUGCUAGAAUGUUAUGCUAUUAUGUGAAAGUAGUAGGAGAGGUAGGAUAGGCCCCAGUACCGGCCGAAAGGACUUAAGGGGUAGGCCAGCACCCAGUAUGUGAUCUAUGUGUUUAUAUGCUAGAGAUUACAUGGUAGAAGUAGGGGGUUAAAUAGUCCCCGAUACCGGUUGAAAGGACCGAAGGGGUAGGCCAGCACCCUGAUAUGCUAGGCAAGUUACCGGUCGAUAGGACCAAAAGGGUAGGCUAGCACCCUGAUAUGCUAGGCAAGUUACCGAUCGAUAGGACCGAAGGGGUAGGCCAGCACCCUGAUAUGCUAGGCAAGUUACCAAUUGAAAGAGACCGAAGGGGUAGGCCAGUACCCGGAUAUGUUAAACAAUAUGUGUCACACCUAGCAAAUUAGGGUUAGGAUUUCUGUCUUUGUGUAAAUCUUGUAACCCUACUUUUGGUGCAAAACAAACUUCAACACUCUACAAGUUUAUACAUCCCAAAAUUUUGAACCAAGUCGAAACUUCCUCGUGUAAGCCCAAAACCUAACCCAAUAAGCUAUAUCCACUCAAAUUUGGGCAUUAGCCCAAGUUUUCUCGGUCCAAACCUCUUAAUGGACCAAAACUCUUCUAUUGGACCUUAUUAGGCCAAUGAACCCUCAACAUGAUCCCUAUGGACUGUAAGGCUCUUAUUUGGCCGUGAACAUCUUCCUUAGACUAAAGUGUGCCAAAUACCUCCAUAGGGUAUUAUUUUGGGCCAAAACCCUUUAAUGGUCCUUCCAAGACUGAAAACCUUUAACGGGCCCCCUUUUUGGGUCGAAAACUCUCUUUUGGGUCCUAAUGGGCCGAAAAUGUAACACCCGAUUCCUGGUAUGUCUUUAAUUCAAGAAUUGUAUGUGUUUUCUCUGGAACUCGACGAGAUGGUGGCCCAACUCGUCGAGUAGAGACGGGAUCCGCGAGAAGUUUAAGUGACCUACUCGACGAGUCGGAGACUGAAUCGGCGAGUAGGUGCUGUUUGAGUGAAACCCUAAAUCUGAGGGUUUGCACCAUAUUUAAACGCCUUAACUCAGCCUCCAUUGUCCCUAUCACUCCCAGAACACCUCAUAUUGAAACCCUAUCCGCUUUGAGUGAUCUAAGGCCAUUUUUGGUGCUUUUGGGUGGUUUGUGAAGCUUGAAAGGAAGGAAAAAGCUUGGGAAUUUGAGUUGGGGCUUGUAGAUCCAGAGAUCUUAUUCCAUAUUCAGCUCAAUCAAGGUAAAUGCCCCUGUUUUGGUCUUCCAUUUGGUUAUUCAUCUUUAGGGCUUAGAUUUUGGGUGUAUUUAGGGCUUUCCAAGGCAUUUUCGGAUUUGUGAAGUGUUUUAUGGGGUUCUACUUUCAGAUUUGAGUCAUUGGAGGGGUCUCAUGGCAUAAAGGUGCCAACUCUAUGGCCAUGAGAGCCCCAUGCACAUUGUAAAGCACCUUUUAUGGAUUUUUGAGCCAAAGACCCCAUGCAUGUGCACCAAGUUUGGAACUUUACGUGUAAAAUGGACAUUAGGAGGCCAUAUUUAUGGUUUUGAUGUGUUAAGACCUAUUUAAAUAGACUGUAUAGUAAUGGUCAUGGAUGGACUCAACGAGUCGCUCUUGGGACUCGGCGAGUUGAGGUGUAUUGACAACCAAAUCCUUUCUGAGGAUAGACCAGUUGUUAGGGAGGAAGUCCCGUGGAUGUUUGGACAUGAAAAAGAACAUGGGAAUCAUGGGACUCGACGAGUCCAAGGCAAUCUACCAACCUUGAAUAUAGACUCGACGAGUUGUUCAUACAACUCAGCGAGUCAUAGACUGGACACGUUCUUAUGAGGGAGAUGAACUCGCUGAGUUGAAGGAAGAACUCGGCCAGUCGGAUGAAGAUGGUCCCGAUGGUUUGAAUGAAGGAGAACCCGUCGAGUUCUUGCUAGACUCGAUGAGUGAAGUCGGGGACGGAUCGGGUUAGUGGAGUAUGGGCUCGAUGAGUUGGUAGGCCAACUCGGCGAGUCAGGUCAAUUGGGUGUUGACUUUGAACAAUGUUGACUUGUUUGGUUUAAGUAUUGACCCUAGUUAGGGUUGUUUGUUAUGUUUGAUGACUCUAGGGUUGUCAUGUAGGGAUUGAGGGGUCGAGGAGAGCCGACCUUCACACCAAGGACAGUUUAGACGCUACAGGACAUUGAAGUGAGUUACCUUCUAGUAGAAGUGGGUCUACGGCACCAAGGUCGGCCCACUAGUAGUUGUUUAGCUGAGAUGAUUGUCUUUGUGAUAAUUGUCAGGUCUGCUAUUGUUGAUAUGCGAGUAUCCUAGUUUGCUUGAUAUGUGACUAUGCUUGUAACAUCCGAGAAUUUGGGUAUAUCUAUUUAACCCUUGUCUUUUGUCAAGUUGUCAAGAUUGGUCCCUAAGUGGGAAAAGUUGCAAAUGAGUAUGCUGGGCGUACUGGAGAGUAUGCUGUGCGUACUCAUGCACUUGAAAUGGACGCGAACUCCUUAAGGUACGUUGGGCGUACCAAAGUUACGCUGGGCGUAACUGGUCCAGAUGCAAACCCUAAUUUGAGGCUUGAUCCCUAUAUAAGGGAUGAUAUGGCCUUAUCCUCAGACACCAUUUCACAGAGAGAAACCCUAAGAGAGCAUUUCCUUCGUCCUAAAGCUUGUGUGUGAGUGUUUUAAACUUCAAAGCGCCAUUUCAAGGUGGUGAAGGAGAAUGGGAGGCCAUUGUAGAAGCUAGAAGUUGGUGGACAAGAGCAGAUCUGAGUUCUUCAGAGGUUGGAGCUUCCUUCUGAGGUAAAAAGCUCAAAGCUUUCCUUGUCUUUUGUGAUUUGUGCUUCUUGGACCAAUUUUUAGGGUUUUUGGUCCCAAGAUGGAGACUUUAUGAGCAAAUGGUCUCCAUAAGACUAGAUCUGCCAUAUUUCAGAGUAAAAUGAGUUGUAUGUUCAUAAAAAUGUGAUCUUGGACGAGAUUAUUGAGCCAUGCAUGAGAUCUAGAUCUUUUGAGGAAGGAGGAAAGGUGUUAGGGAGUGUAGGGACCUUUACAGCCAUGCAAAGGCUUAAAGGUUCUGACUUUAUGGUUUAAGGACCGUUAGGGAGCCUAGAUCCAAGAGAUGAGCUAAGGUCUUACGGGUUAAGACCCAGAAAAUGGAUUAAGUGAAAUGGAAGUUAUGCGCCGCGUAAUUCCAGUACGCCCUGCGUACUGGGUUGAGGUCCCUGAUUAGUUCUUUGGGCGUUUGUGUACGCUGAGCGUACCAAGGAGGUACGCCCCACGUAACCCCUCUGUGGGCUUUUGGACUAGAGUUGAUAUUUGGGCCUUAAGUGUUGGGCUUGAAUCCUUGGGCCUGCGUAGUUGAGCAUAUGUGUAGAGAAUUAAUUGAUGUCUUGGGCCUCAUGUUGGGCUUGUCUUGUAGGGUGUUGUUGUGCCUUGGGGAAACCCAUUUAUUAUUGGGCCUUGGUGGGCCCAAUGGAAUUAGAGCGUCGAUGGGCUGGUAAUUGGUCUAUCUUUAGACCUAAUAAGUGAAAGGUUGGUCCUAGUUUCUAAUCAUGGCAAUAAUGGGAUUUGACACAGAGUUAGAGGCCAGUGUUUAGUAGCAGCGUGACUAGAGGAUGAUUCGUCGUUCCAGGUGAGUCUUCUCACUAUACGUUACCUAGAGUGGUAUUUAUGUGGACCGGAGGCUCUUAUGUGCUAUGUAUGAUAUUAUGUGAAUCUAUGUGCUAUGUGAUAUUUGUAUGUUAUAUGAUUGUAUAGACCGGACCAGAAGGUCCAACGAUACAAACCGGACCAGAGGGUCUAACGAUUCAGACCGGGCCGGAGGGCCCAACGAGUUACAGGACUGGAGGGUCCCGCUGAGACACAUCGACCGGAGGGUCGUACAGUAGCCUCGAGUGGCGUAUGUGUUGUAUGUGGUAUUUUGGGGAACUCACUAAGCAUUUAUGCUUAUAGUUGUUGUGUUAUGUGUUUCAGGUACUAGCGAGGAUCGCGGGAAGAUGCCGGCAUGAUUCGUACACACUCAUAGAGUUUAUGUUAUUGAGAUUCUGGGGACAUGUUUUGUAUGACACAAUGAUACAUUAUGUUUUGAGAGUAUCAUGUGAUUGAAAGUAUGAUUUAAAAAUAAAAAAAUUGUUUUGAAAAUUUACGUUGUUACAAUGCUAGUUUGCUAUGUUACGUGAGAUAGUAUCAGUAGGAGGGGACUAGUCCCCAAGUUGGUCGUUAGGACCAACGGGUAGGUCGGACACCACAUAUAUUUCUGACAAUAUGAUAGAGAUAUGAUAUUAGGUGUUAGCAGUAGGGGUGAAAUAGUCCCCAUGUAUGGUUGAAAGACCGGUGGGUAGGUCGGCACCCCAGAAUAGCCUGACAUGGAUAGGUCGGCACCCCAGAAUAGCCUGACAUGGGUAAGUGAGCACCCCAUAAUAGCCUGACAUGGGUAGGUCAGCACCCUAGAAUGGCUUGACACGGGUAGGACGUGUGCCCCAGAAUAGUCCGACAGUAUAUAUACUUUGUGAUUGUAUGGUAUGUGGUAUGAUGGGGGAACUCACUAAGCUUUGUGCUUACAGUUUUAGUUUUGGUUUCAGGUACCUCUUCGUCUAAGGGGAAGGAGCCGGCGGUGUAGCAACGCAUCACACACACACAUGGCUUCCGCAUGGAGUUUUCUAGGAAUGGACUCUGAUUUAUUUUACUUUGACAAUAUGAUUUUCAGACACAUUGUUAUUUUUCUUUUUAUAAUUGACAUGGCAUGGGAAAUCUUUUGGUAAACUAUGUUGUGGGUUACUUAAUUUAAAAUGAAAAUUUCGGCUUGAUUGGGAUGUUACAAGUUGGUAUUAGAGCCCUGGUUUGAGGGAUUCAGACACACCCUUAGGGAUGUCUGGACUCAAACCGAGGGAUUAAAAGAUUUUUACAAGGAAAAUGGUUUUCAAAAAUCUGAGUCAGAGAGUUUUGAGAAAGAACAAGGUGUGUGAUGCGUGCGACCGACCGAGAUCAAGUAAGUUUUCCCAAAGAUACCCAUACUUGUUAUGAUAAGUUAUAUGAUAUAUGAUUCUGAGAACUGCAUGCUAGAUUAGGGCUAAGGAUCUAGGACGAUGCCUUGUAUGCCUAAUAUAUAUGAUUCUGAGAACUGCAUGCUAGAUUAGGGCUAAGGAUCUAGGAAGGAUGCCUUAUAUGCCUGUGGUAUGAGGCUGUAUGCUAGGACUGUUUAGUCAGUAGUAGGAUGGCAUGUAUAGGUUAUGCCUAAAAUGGUUACUCAGUGCACAAAUGCUUCUUGCUUUGUGCUAUAAGGGUUAUGGCUAGCUUUAACUAUCUAGUGAAUGAAUAUGUAGUAGUAUUCACAAGCUAGCUAGGGACGGAUAGCAGAGACCCCUUGUGCAGCUGAUGGCGGAUAGUAGGUCGGAGGGUGCCCUAGGAAAGCCUAGGACAAGAAUAGUGGAAAAGGGUAUCGGAAAAGGGACUUGGUGAAGUUGAAGCAAUCCUUAAGAAAAGUAUGGAUAGAUGUGGAAGGUAGUAUGGGCCCGUACUACUGUAAGCAGAGGAUCCGUACCUGAGUCAAGGAGGGCCGAGAUGGAACCCGGAAACUUGGAGAAUGUGUGAGACCUUUUGAGAGUAUGUAUGAUCCUGACAUUUAUGCGUUUAUUUUCAGUAUGGUGAACACGCGACAUGGAUCAGGAGGUUUCGGAUCAGGAUCAGGAUCAGGCUCGGGUGCAGGAUCCGAGUAGGUUGAUGACGGGCUACGCGAGUUCAUCGCAUCUGAGAUCACGAGAGGCAUCCUUGAGUCGACCUCGGUCAUUUUCGAGUCGAUCAGGGAGGGGAUUAUUGAGCUGAUGGAGGAUCGCCUCCGGGCAUUCAGGAGUGAUCUGGCAUCUAGCCAGACGGGUGCACGCAUACUGUCCUUUAAGGACUUCCGAGGGAGCGGUGCGCCAAUUUAUCAUGUGGUAAAAGACCCCAUUGCUUCCAGGAGAUAGAUCGCAGACAUUGAGUCUGCGCAGUUGAUGAGCUUCUGUCCGGAAGGGUCGAAGGUUUGCUUUGUUGCGGGGUGUUUGAGGGAUAGAGCUAGAGACUGGUGGGAGUCGGUUGGUGACACGUUGGGAGCCCCAGCCGUCGAGGCUAUGACUUGGUCAGAUUUCGUGACUACGUUCGGGGCUGAGUUUGCGCCGGCUGUGGAGCUUCAACAGCUGGCCAAAGAAUUUUUGGAUAUGAGGCAGAUGACUGAGACAAUGGUGGAGAUCACCGCGAAGUUCAGGAAGAGGGCCCUGUUGGUACCCUAGUAUGUGGGGAUGUGGAGAUGCGGAAGACCCACUACCAUGAUAUGUUGAGGGCUGAUAUUUGAGAGCAUGUCAGCUAUUCAGCCUGCUCGACCCUAGAGUCCAUGAUUGCCAGGGCGUGGGAGGGGGAGCUCGAUUUGGAGCAUGUCAAGAAGAGGAAAGAUGAGUCUGAGCAGGUUACAGGGGUUUCGGGGAAGAAACCCAAGGGAUCCGACGUUAGGUCGAAGGGCAAGCCGGGCCAGAGCCGCUGCAGGAAAUGCGACAUGCCCCAUGAGGGAGCUUGUAGAGCGGGAUCGUCAGGCUGCUACAAGUGUGGCAAGACGGGGCACUUUGGCAGGGAUUGUACUGCCCCCGCCCCCGUAGUACAUAUGUCAGACCUGAUUUGCUGCCAUUACAAUCAGAGGCGCCACAAGAAGGGAAACUGCCGUAGAUUGACAGCAGCGACAGCAGCAACGCUGACCCCAACGUCAGCACGGGUUGCGGAUGGCUGGAAGGCCAAGUCAGAGGCUCCAGUGGUGUGGAGCCGAGCAUUUCAGUUGAUAGCCGAGGAGGCACGCGCUGCACCGGAUGUGGUGACGGGUAUGAUUUAUUUCUUAUGCUUUUGUUUUAUGUCGCUGUAAUUUUGAUAUGUUAUGUAUGUGCUAUGUAUAGGAUCGUUCCACGUGAACGGUAUCCCAGUUCAGGUAUUGUUUGAUUCGGGUGCUACCCGAUCGUUUGUAUCUCUUGCAGUUAGCAAGAAGUUUCCUGAGUCUUCAGGCAUGUUGGAUUGCCCUCUUGAGGUCGAGAUUGCGGAUGACCGGUCAGUGUGAGCAUCAGAGGUCUACCGAGAUUGUGUUUUGCGGCUAUUUGAGGAGCGUUAUCUGGUAGAUCUGGUUCCCAUACCUUUACGGGGUAACAAGGUUAUUAUUGGUAUGGAUUGGCUAAGCCCCAAUGGGGCAGUGAUUGACUGUGCGCAACAGUUGGUGCGGAUCAGUGCCCCAAGUGGGGGAGAGCUGGUGAUUCAGGGCGAGAGGCCACAACGAGGACCAACUCUGUGUUCAGCAGCGAGAGCUAGGAACUCCCUUCAGCAGGGUUGCGCAGGAUUUGUCGCCUAUGUUAGGGAUUCCCAGGAGAUGGGUGAGGCAACAGUGGCCGAUGUGCCCGUGGUACAAGAGUUUGCGGAUGUAUUCCCAGAGGAGUUUCCUGGGAUACCUCCGGAGAGGCAGGUAGAGUUCAGGAUCGACCUAGUCCUGGGUGCAGCUUCGAUAGCNCGAUAGCCAAGGCACCGUAUCGGUUGGCUGCUCCUGAGAUGCAGGAGUUGUCUACACAGCUGCAGGAGCUGUUAGACAAGGGAUUCAUUAGACCGAACAGUUACCCUGGGGAGCCCCGAUUCUGUUCGUGAAAAAUAAGGACGGGUCGCAUCGGAUGUGUAUAGACUAUAGGGAGCUGAAUAAGAUAACGGUGUGAUGAUAGAUGGUCCAUUAGUAUGGCCUAGACUACUCUAGCCCGCUAGCUUGACCUGGCAUGCUCCUGCCAGCCCUGCCUAGCGUUUCCUUGCCAAGCCUUGCUGGGGACUCUCCUGCCGGCUCGGCCAGGCACUCUCUCGCCUGGCGCUCCCCUGAAAAACUUUCCAGGUGCGCGCCCGCUAGCCCCGACCGGCGCCUCCGGGUGGCCUUGCCCAGCUCCUUGCUAGUUGGGCCUGAAUUGGGCUGGCCCAAAGCCUGACCUAAUUCCCAUUGACCUACCUGUCCACUAUAAAUAGAAUAGUGCCUCCUCUAUGAAGGAGGACCCCUUUUCCCUAAGACUCUUCCCUAGGUGGCUCUCAACCACCACUAGACCCCAUGGCUCAGCCGCCACACUAUACUCCGGCCGGGUGGCUCAGCCGCCACCUGCCGCCGUCAGCCACCAUACACCACCACUAACACCAAGAUGGUUCCCUCCAGCUAUGGAGAACCAUCUCAGAUCUACUAGCUGAUCUAACUUGACCGUCAGAGUCCGCUCCUGGGGCAUAGUCCCUGGGACGGCUCUAACGACUUUGCACUGUGAUAUCCAGAUCUCCGCUGUAGCAGAAGACCAGAAGACUCGCCGGAGGUCGAUGUCGUAUCAUUUGGUGCCAUCCCAGAUUCGAGCAAGUAGCAAAAGCCUCAGUUGGCCUCCAGCUAGAUUUUGACAAGAUUUGUUCAGAUCUGAUGUGUUUUCUUCUAAGAUUUGUUCAGAUCUGUUCAUUUCUACCCACCAUUUGGUUCAGAUCCAUUUGGUUUCUACGAAGAUCUAUUCAGAUCGAUUUGGUUUCGCCAAGAUCUUUCAGAUCUGUUUAGUUUUUGCUUAGAUCUUUUGAUCUGUUGAGUUUUUUGUUCAGAUCGUUAGAUCUACUUUGUUUGUUUUUCAGAUGUCUAAAUAUGCUUGGUUUUAGAUCAUUUGAGCAACACUCAAGUUUUAAAAGACUUCAUAAGAUCUGAUUUUCAUCUAUAUUUUGAUGGGUUCUUCUGCAAGUAGUGAAGAAAGAAUUUCUUAUGAGUUCUUAACCCAUUUUCGUUUUUAUUUUGGUGUUUUUUCAAGCAAUCUGAGAAGAAAUUAAGUUUUCAUGGUGUUUUACCUCAUCUCUAGUUGUUUUCCUAAAAGAAAUCGUUUUUGGUUCCUGAUUCUUGGCAAUACUAUGUUGAAGUUGUUUAUUUAAUGUUUUCUUCAAAGCUUAAAGAAGAAAAAUGAAUUUUUUCCAGAUCUGUUCUUGCUCACACAUUGAUAGCUUGUUGAGCAAGCUGAAGAAGAAAAUAAGUUUUAUGAACAACAUCCCACUUCAGAUCCGUUUUUUCACUUCUAAUAUGGGAUUUGUUCAGCAGGUGAGGUGAAAAGAUGUUUUUAAGAGUUUUUAUUUCAUCUCCAGUUCACAUAUUAUCAAAAAUCGUUUUUAGCUAUGAUUUUUUGUGUGUAAUCCCAUCUCUGCAGUAAUUGGUUGUACACCUAGUUGUGUUGACAUCUUAGGACCUUUAAAAAAAGGGAUGGAGAAAAGAGCUUUUUAUGGGAUUUUACCCCAGCUUAGUUCAUAUAUUUUUAGAAAAUCUCAUGUAGAUUAUGAUUUUCUGUACAUUCAAGUUGCUUAAAAGCUUGGAGAAGAAAUAAAAAGAGAGGGUGGCUUUUCAAGAGUUCCUACCCUAUCUUCAAUAUAUUUUGGUGUUUUGAGUAGAAAAGAAAUUUUUAUAAAAUCUUUUCCUCAUCUCAAACCCAUACAUAACCAGAAAAUCACUACAGAUUGAGUUUUUUCUGCAUACAAUUUCAUUCACUCAAACAUUUGUUUGUACACACAGCUAUGUUACUUGUACAUCUCACAAAAUAGCCAAUAAGAAAAAAUCUUUUUAAGAUCAUAUUCCGACAUUUUACCCCAGACAUUUACCACAUAAAUUUACAAUUCACUGCUAAAAGUGGUAAAAAUUAUUUAUAUAUUACAAGAAUGGGCUGUCACUCUCCAACCAACAAAAUAAAAAGAAAGAGAGAGAGAUGUACAUGAGAUUCCACACCAUCAAACGGAUCUGAUUGAUACACAAGCAGAUUGGGGACUUACAAUUGGUAUCAGAGCUUGGAUUGUAUCAGUCAAUUUUGUCAUAUCUGGAGCUUAUUUGAUCUUAUUUUUGAAGGAUUCCUGCAUUUUUGGAUAGAUCUUGGCAAAAUAAGGGGGGGGGGGGGGGGGGUUUCUUUUGUUUUNUGGGGAAGGGGGGGGGGGGGGGGGGGGGGUUGUUCUUUGCAUUUUUGAUAAAAACGAGUUUUUGAUCGAGUUUUGGAGCAAAAAUGGUGAAAAACGUCGUUUUUUUCGCGAUCUGAUUGAAGGUGUGCUGUCAGUUGAAGGUGUACGGCCGCGGAGUGUGCGGCCCCGGUGUGCGGUCUUGGUGUACGGCUUGGUGGUUUGCAAUCCUGCAACGUUUCCGGUUCGCACCUCGGUCUCGGUCAGCAGCGUGUGCGAGCCUUCGGUCGAUGGUCUUGGUCAGCUCAAACUUCGUAGCGUACAUUUAAAAAGGGAAGAAAGUUGGGGCUGCCAAGGAUUUGAACCUGGGUCUCCUCCCUACACAACCAGCGCCUUACCAUCUUAUCUAGCUUGCUAAAUGUUAUAUCUCUUCUCUUGUUAAUUCAUAAAGACUCCAUUUCGAACCAAAUUUCGCAUUUUUUACAUUUUUAACCCAAAAAUCAAUUUCCUUUAUUUUUAAAUUACUUUUUCAACUAAAAAAUUUAGUUUUUAAUUUUUUACUUUAUAAAUUGACUUUUGACCUUAAAUUUUGACUUUGACUUUAAAGUUUGACCUUUGACUUUAAGCGUUGACUUUAAAAUUUUAAAAUUUAGCUUUUUGGUUUGACUUUGAAGUUUAACCUUUUAAAUUUGACUUUUAGGGUUGACUUUUGAGUUUUUAGUCAAAGGGCAUAUUUUUAUAAAAAUGAGUUCCUCAUCCAUUUCGUUAAUUGAAGUUUCAUGUACUCCAUCUUGUGAAGCUACGAUUAAAUUUCGUCGCGAACAAAUUGAUUUGCUAAACAGGGAAAACGAGGACUUAAAAUACAAAGGAUAUCAACUUAGGAAAGGUUAAAAACCCUUAAAAGGACAAUUAGAAGCGAAAAUCAAGGAUUUCCGAAAGCUUCAAGAAGAUUACAGCAACAAGUGAAAAAACUAUGAUCACAUUAAGGCCGUGUUUGGCGCGCCACAGCUAGCUGAUAAGCUAGCUUAUUUUUCGAGCUUUUUUAUGUUGUCGUAUUUGGUAAGCCAAAAAGUAGCUGAUAAGCUAGCUUUUUGAAAAGCUACUUAGACUACUUUUUAGGAGCUUUUUUAAAAUUUUCCAAAUACACCCCUUAAUUAAUUAUAGAAAGUUAGAAACACAUAUUCUUACAUGUCCUUUUAUGUAAUUUUAUAUAUUUCAGCUAGCUUUCAGCUAGUUUUACCAAACGUUAUUUUUUAUCAGCUAGCUUUUCAGCUACCAGCUAGCUUUUUAUUUAACAGCUAGCUUUUUAUUUAACAGCUAGCUUUUCAGCCAUCAGCUAGCUUUUCAGCUAACAGCUAGCUUUUCAGCUAGUCCGCCAAACAUAGUCUAAAAGCAAACUUGCUACUGUAACUGAAGAACUUGGCACUUUGAAAAUUAAGUGUGGAAAAACAGAUGUUAGUUUCAAAAAUUAUACUGCGUCAAGUAAGACAGUCGAGUCCUUAGUUGAAAAACAAUUGAGUUUUAAAGAUAAUCAAACCAAGGGUUGAGGAUAUGAGAGUGUCCCUCCUUCAUUUAACCAUUCAUAUUAUGUUAAUCCCUUGACUCAGGAAGAGAUUGACUGAGAUGGUAUACGGUAAACCAGUUGCUGAACAGGCAACUGAGGGUGUUGAGAUGAAAGAUGCUAAUGAUUCUACUUCCUGUGCAGGUAAAGCAGUAUAGGAUGAGAACAAGGAGAAAACUACUGAACAAACAAAUGACUCCUUGAACUCUAAAUUUGUUGCUUCUAACUCAGUUACUUCUGACAAACCUGCGGUUGAGAAAUACAGGCCACCAAUUCCAGGGAAACAGAGUGCCUGUUGUAUGUGUGUAUGUGGGAACAACCAGAAACAAGGCAAGGAUACGCCACCAGGGGCAGGAAGAAACAAUUCCUACGUGAAGAAGCAAACUUGCUUUCACUAUGGAACACCUGGACACAUUGCCAAACAUUGUCCAAAUCGCGCAUACGUUCCCUACUAUGCACAAAGAAGGCAGAACGCGCCAAGAGGGAGAUUUUCGAAAAGAAGCCCCUCAAGGUCACAAUCAGACAUUGGCGACUGGAAUGCAAAGAAGGCCAAGAAUUCAACUCCCAAGGCCAAGAAUCCAACUCCAGAGGUCACGAAGGGAAUGCCGGCCAAGAAGCCAAAUCCAAGAGAUGCUCUUGUGAAGCCAAAAUCAAAGUCAUCUCAACGGCCGACAUCAAGAUCAAAAGCAAGUACCGAGCCACCCAUCGGAUCGAAAAAGAAAUGGGUUAAACCCAACUACAAAUGGGUUCCGAAGGUUCACUCUCCCAAAUCUCCUAAUGAUUCUAACAUUUCUUCAUCUUCUAUUUUUGAUAAACAGGAUAUGUCAUGGGAGAGGGUACCUUGCGUUGAUGAAAAAGGUCAACCCAAUUUCAAAAUGGACUGGGUUCCGAAGACCAACUAAUCUUGCUCUAUGUCAGAGCAGCUAUGGAAGCAUAUCAUUAGACUUCGGUUUGUUGGUAGUGGCUGCUCCUGGCACAUGAUAGGGGACAUCUCUCAACUUUGCAACACUCAGAACUUUAUUUGAGAGAAUGUGUCCUUUGCGGGAAAGGAAGAAAGGAAAGGAUCACACAUGGGGUUAGUGCUUAAUGACAUGAAGAAUUUUCGGAUCUGUUCUGAGAUUAUGCGUGGUAUUCUCAGACCUUAUGGAUGCAAUUUCAAUCGGUGAAUUACGGUUUGCGUUUUCUUCUCUAUACUCCUGAGUUUAUCUUACUCUGAUUCGUUUUAAAGACAAUUUUUCAUUUUCUUAAUAGUUUUUCGUUAGUAGGUGUCUGUUAGGAAGUUAUAUCAAGAAAGUGAUAACAGACAGUCUAAAACCAGUGUAAGGGACUGAAUCUGAAUCGUCUAGAAUCUGUGUUCAAUGUGUUGGUAGGCACGGAGGAUUUGAUAUUGUGGAUUUGGAUAAGAUUGUUUGGACUGACCAUAUGAUGCUCGGGUAGAUUGACCAGUGAGAUAAACACGGGAACCCAUAUGAUACACUAAAUUAAUACGCAUCUAGAAUUGUGAUUCAACUUUUCCUUGAUGUACGGACUUAUGUCCUUAAUUCUGGUUCUGAUAGGGCGACUGGGGGUUCUGAUAAAGUAGGUAUGUAGGAAAUUAUUUUCUUGCUUUCUAUCUUCCAUUCAUAUGUUGCUUCCUCUGCGUGAUUAGAAGAGAUCCGACCUAGAAUGCAGUAUAUGCAACUCUAUUUCUACGCACCUCCCUAUCUAUGAAACUAUUUCUAUCUGUUCGGCUUAUGUUGUCUCCUCUGUGUGAUUGAAACAUAUCCGACCUAGAACACUGCAUAUGCAACAUUCUACUUCUCAAUCCUUAUAUCUCUGUUAGCCAUAUGUUGUCCCCUCUACGUGAUUGAAAGAGAUCCGACCUGGGACACAACAUAUGCAUCUAUCUCUAAAUCUAACUUCCUACAUAAUAAUUGUUUACUCACCUAAAGUAAGGAGUCCUUAGGAAGUUCUUGAUAACAAGGGUAUAUUGGGAAGUGGGGAACACGUUCUAGUGAAACUAAAAUUGAACCAUUUAAGAGGUUGCCUGUAGAUCUCGUUGCUUAAUUUAAGUGGACAACAAUACCCGUGGUCGUCGUCAGCUAAAUGGUUUAUUUAGAAAAGUUAGUCGAUAUGCUUCGUGUUUAAGUGGACCACAAUACUGGCAAUUGAACAGAUCUAUUCAUGAAGGUGAAGGUACUGAUAAACAAGUUCCGACUGUCUCACAACUUUGAUCCCAAAUAUUUUUCUUUUUGUUUAAUUUGUUCAUAGCUCUCCUCUAUGCACAAAUUUAGGAGGAGAAUUAAAAAAAAUUAUAUAUAUAUAUAUAGAUAUAUAUANUAUAUAUAUAUAUAUUGUGUGCUAAGUUUACUUUUAGUUUUGUUUUGUCUUGAAAAGUGAAUACAGAUGUAGAUGAGACUCACGGAGAUUGUAUCGAGAUUUUUUGAGCCAAAGUUUCAUCCGUGAUCAUCGAAGAAUUCUCAUUCGAAGGAGCAAGAAAUGAAGAUUAUUCUUUUAACAUUUAAUCUUUCAACUCCGGAAGCAAGGCGAAGCUGCACUUGAAGAUUAUGUGACGGAUUGCAUUGAAGCCUCCUCAAUCAAUCUGCCGCUAUCUAUGAACCUGCUGAAGUGAUCCAGAAGAUUCGUUCUCUCUGUUCUCUCUGAAGAUUCUCAAGCUGAAAGUGCCAUCUUUCAAGAAUCUCUACAUCAAGCCUCCUCACCCAAUGUGCGUUCAAUGUCAAAUUCUGAAGAAAUGCCCAACUGCUCAAGAUGAAGUCAUUCAUAGACGAUUCAUAUGUUCAUCCUGAUGUUGUUAAGAAAUUGAUGAUUAAAAGCUGAAGCCAAGCUCCCAUUGAAGAUCGACAAGAAAAGCCAGCUACUUUUUAGGGGGAGCUUGUUGGGUCAAUUAGAAAAGAAAGCUAUAAACCAAGGGGGAGAUUGUUGGGUCAAAAUAUGGUUUAUACUUUGCUUUUUUAAGAAAAUGUACUUUUCCGUAAUUUUGUGGCUGUGUACGACCGUACAUGUGUGUACGGCCACACACCCUGUGUACAGCCGUACACAGGGUGUGCGGCUGUACACACGUGUACGUCUGGAGGUCCAUAUAACUAGAUGUAAUGGGUAGAGGAGUGUAUGGCUAGAAGGGGGAAGAGAGCAUGUUGUAGAGAAAAAACUAGAGAGAAGAAGAGUGUGUGUUAGUGUGUGUGAAUCUUGUAUUUGGAUCUACAUUCUAAUCAUCAAAUAAUACAAGAUUCAUCGUCUUCUUCUUCUCCUUCUCUUCUUAUUGUGAUCUGGCAUCAUCCUUUUGAUUGGAAUUCCGCACCAUCAAACGGAUUUGAUUGAUACACAAGCAGAUUGGGGACUUACACAUUCCCACCUCUACAGAUGACAUUUUCCAACUGAAGAUACAUCCCACCGAUCGUCACUGGUCAUUUUCGGCAACACCAGAUCGACUAUAGCCAGCCACACCUUCAAGAUGAAGCGUCGCCGGAAGACCUCCUCCGCCAAACGCACCCCAACCUGAUGCAGACCAAUCACCCUCGAUGUCACCGGCAAGAUCGAUGAUCUGAUAUCCUCUACAACCGUCAGCGACGCCUGGCGAGAAACCCGGGACUGUUUGUCGUCUACCCAACCAAUACAAGUCCACAGAUGUGACUUUUAUAGUUUCCAAGGUCUUGAAGUUGCCGACAGAUAUCCCCUUUCCUUUCAAAAACGACAAGGGAAAUUUUGGGGACCCGCAUGUGUUACCCUGGAGCCUUAAUACGUCUGCCCAUAUCAUAUAAGUAAAAUGAUAAUAGAAAGGAAAUUGGGCUUCCCUUAUUAAAAAAUCGAGAUCUUUCACAUUUUUAUAUUGGACCUUUUAUCAAGCGGGCUUCAGCAGAUCUAUCUAUGGGCUUCCACAAUAAUUAUAUUUUGUUAUGUUGGGCUACACCAACAAAUAAAAUGGGCCAGUCUUAUAAGAAAAUAAUAGGCUAUUUAACGCUGUUGUGCCGCAAGCUCCGCGCAACAGAAUACACUUUUAAAAUAUAUGUUACGAUCCAUACCAAUCAGCUUUAAAAAAAAGAGAGGGGGAGGGAGAAGAGUAGUGUACUACCGCCACUCGUGUAGCGUUUAGAGAAAAUCACAACAUGCAAUAUGAAUCAAUUUAUUAUUUCAAUAGAGAAUACUAAAUAUUUGAUCGAUAUGCCUUUUCAGAUAAUUGCCCCAGCGCUACACACUCAGAGUGCACCAACAGCAAACUCGCGGAGCAAAGUUCGGCCUAUAAAAUAUUUACUGGGGACUUGCAAAGUGCGCACCACUGACCAGUCACUCAAAGUUCCCCUCCAACGGGCAUAGAAAUAUAACUCAACGUUUCAAAAAAAAAAAAAACAGGGGAGGGAGAAGAGUAGCACACUACUACUACUACUACUACUCGUGAAGCAUUCCGAAAUAACCAUCAGCAACUGCGCUGCGCGGUCAUCAGCAGCCGUGUUGACCAAUCCCGGGAAGUAUCGCUAAUCAACUCUCACAUUCAUGUUGACCGACCCCCGCUAGUCUUACCGCCCAACUCUUAGUAGUCGCACAGCUCGACCUUCAGCAGCGACACGACCUAGCUCAGCAGCUACAAAGCCCAACCAUUAAUAGCUACUUUGUCUGACUCCCAGCGGUCGCGCUGCUUAGCUCUCUCCAGCCAUGCUACCCAGUUUUGUUAGUGCUUGGGUUGCCUAGCUCUCUCCAGCAGCUAUGUACCUCGCCUUUCAGUGGCUAUACAUUCGUCUUUCCCUUUCUUUGCAUGCUCUAAAAAAAAGGAAGGGGGGGGGGGGAAUAGGGUUGGUACGAAACUAUGUAGAAGUGAUUUUUAUUCCCAGGGGGUAGAGUUAAAGUACAUGAAGAACUGACACUACACAUGACAGUGCAUCUCCGAGGUGACAUUGGUAUGCCAUAUUGAAAGAGUAGCCUCGUAUUUCAACCCUCAGGAGUCUCGUUGCCCAGAUCUCAGUGGUCAUGCUGCUCAUCUAUUGCUAGCAGCUCGAUGCUCGGUUCUCAACGAGCCUGCUGACCAGUUCUUGACAGCAGUCUCGCUACGCACCGCCUAACAGCAGCUACACUAUCAAGCCCUAAGUAGCACCGCCACAUAGCUCUCCGUAAACAGCCAAGACAGCGAGGCAUCAGUUAUUAGUACGAAUAGCGAUGCAGCAAAGCAUCAGGUACCAUUCUGCUUUAACCCAGACUUAUCACACGAUCUAGACACAUAAAUUGUAGGGCGCCAAGCUCCGCAUGCGAGGUUUAGCACCCUUGCCUCGAGUCGUUUGGCUUCUCAGCCCGACUCUAUUGUAGCGGCACGCUCCACAUGCGAGGUUCAGUACCCUCGCCUUGAGUCGCGUGGCUUCUCAGCCCGACUCCAUUGUAGCGACACGCUCUACAUGCGAGGUUCAGUACCCUCGCCUCGAGUUGCCUGGCGUUUUAGCCCGACUCCAUUAUAGCGGCAUGCUUCGAAUGCGAGGUUCAGUACCCUCGCCACAAGUCGCCUGACUUCUCACCGACUCCAUUAUAGCUGCAUGCUCCGCAUGCGAGGUUCAGUACCCUCACCUCGACUCGCCUGGCUUCUCACCGAAUCCAUUAUAGCGUCAUGCUCCGCAAAACGAGGUUUAGUACCCUAGCCUCGAGUCGCCUGGCUUCUCAGGCCGACUCUAUUAUAGCGACACGCUCCGAAUGCGAGGUUUAGUACCCUCGCCUCAAGUCGCCUGGCUUCUCACCGACUCCAUUAUAGUUGCACCUCCGCAUGCGAGGUUUAGUACCCUCGCCUCGAGUCGUCUGGCUUCUCACCGACUCCAUUAUAGCGGCACGCUCCACAAAAUGAGGUUCAGUACCCUCGCCUCGAGUCGCCUGGAUUAUCAGCCCGAUUCCAUUAUAGUGACACGCUCCGCAUACGAGGUUCAACACCUUCGCCUCGAGUUGCCUGGCUUCUUAGCCCGAUUCCAUUAUAGUGACACGCUCCACAUACGAGGUUCAAUACCUUGGCCUCGAGUCGCCUGGCUUCUCCGCCCGACUCCAUUAUAGCAACUUGCUCCGACCAUUCCACGCGACGCUCUUCUGCGUGAUCUAUCUACGAUCGUUAGCAGUCAAGCCCGAUCCAUUCCACGCGAUGCUCUUCCACAUGAUCUAUCUACGAUCAUUAGCAGCCAAGCCCGAUCCAUUCCACGCGACGCUCUUCCGUGUGAUCUAUCUACGAUCGUUAGCAUCCAAGCCCGAUCCAUUCCACGCGAUGCUCUCUCGCGUGAUCUAUCUACGAUCGUUAGUAGCCAAACCCAAUAUGUUAUACGCGAGGCUUUCCCACAUGACAUCUCCAUGUUCGCUGGCUGCUAUGACUGAGCUAUUCUCCUAAGUUGCGCAACAUAAGUCGCGCAUCGUCGUGCACAUAAGUCGUGCAUCACAAGCUUAUUGCACGUCUAACACCACGAUCUUGGUGCUCCCUCUCUGACAAUCAUCAUGGUUCUCUUGUGCUCGGACGAUCGAUGAAGUGUUAUCUACAUUACAACCUGCCAUAGUCAGGUUACUCUCCAGCAAGGAGGCCAUCCCGGCAUUGGCCCUGCUGCCUACUACCUUACAACAUCUCUGUUUCCUGGCUCUCGGAAACGGUCUUGCUAUGCAACUUUACCUGUAGCCUCUCUGCAUACCCUACAACAUCUCUGUUUCCUAGGUCUCGGAAACGGUCUUGCUAUGCAACCCUACCUGUAGCUUCGCUGUGUAUCCCUCAGCAUCACUGUUGCCUGGUCCUCGGAAACGGUCUUGCUGCGCAACCCAUACCUCUAGCCUCAUCACUUAUCCCUUAGCACUUUUGCUGCCUGGCUCUCGGCAACAGUCUUACCGCAUGUUUCCUACCUAUAGCCUCACUACCGGUUCCUCAAGAAUUCUGUUGACUAGCUAUCGACAAUAGUCUCGCUAUGUGACCUUGGCUAGCAACCUAAUCGCAUAGCUUGCAGAAUCUCUUCCUCUUAUAUUAUGGUCAACAACCUAACAGUUUAUUGGUUUGACAAGAUAGUCUAACACGACUACCUACGCUACCCACAUCAGACUGGGGGGAAUCCAGCUAGGUAUAGCCCGAGCAAGAAAGACCCUCAAGACAGUUAUUAAUGGAGAUUAUGUAGAUGGUUACUGGUGGCAUCCCAUCUCGCAUGGGUACCACAACAAUCACGUCGAAUAAUAGUCCCAGGGACUGAAUUGCAAGAUUACGCUUCUUAGCUACCCCGACCCGACAUUUUAUAGACAUCAAUGUCACGUGACACUCUUUAGCAGCCUCGAUUCACAUGAUCACAGUAACAGUUACGUUGCAUUGCACCUAUCGGCUCACACUCCUCUCAAGAAAGGAGUAUCAAGUCAGCUCAAUCCGCACAAGCAAUUUUUGGCUCAUCGCACAGCCCCACAACUCUUGUGGGCGAGGUUCGGUCAUUCCUCUUGAUUAUUUAUUGUAUUGGUGCUUUAUUUAGUCUGACCCGAUUGGUAGCAACCCAAUCACAUCAGACUAGGGGGACUUGAUGACGCACAAUUUAUAUGACUAGUUCUAGUCUGAUGUCAUUGGCCGCGUACCAAUAAUACCAGAUUGGGGGGACUUGAUGAUAUAUGGUCCAUUAGCAUGGCCUAGACUACUCUAGCGCGCCAGCCUGGCCUGGCGUGCUCCAACCAUCCCUGCCUAACGUUCCCUUGCCAAGCCUUGCUGGGGACUCUCCUGCCGGCUCGGACAGGCGCUCCCCUGACAACCUUUCGUGGUGCGCGCCUGCCAGCCUUGCUUGGGGCGCACCCGCCAGCCCCGCCCAACGCCUUCGGGCGGCGUUUCCCGUCUCCUUGCUAGUUGGGCCUGAAUUGGGCUGGCCCAAAUCCUGACCUAAUUCUCCAUUAUAAAUAGAAUAGUGCCUCCUCCAUGAAGGAGGACCCCUUUUCCCUAAGACUCUUCCCUAGGUGGCUCUCAGCCACCAAUAGACUGCAUGGCUCAACCACCACAUUAUACUCCAACCGGGUGGCUCAGCCGCCACCCGCCGCCGUCAGCCACCAUACACCACCACUAACACCAAGAUGGUUCCCUCCCGCUAUGGAGAACCAUCUCAGAUCUACUAGCUGAUCUAACUUGAACGUCGGAGUCCGCUCCCGGGGCACAGUCCCUAGGACGACUCUAACGACUUUACACUGUGAUAUCCAGACCUCCGCCACAGCAGAAGCCCAGAAGACCCGAGGUCGAUAUCACAUCACGGUGAAGAGCCGUUACCCACUCCCGAGGAUUGAUGACCUCUUUGACCAACUGCAGGGAGCAUCUUGGUUCUCUAAGAUUGAUUUGCAUUCCGGGUAUCAUCAGAUGAGGGUGAGAGAGGAGGAUGCACAGAAGACUGCGUUUUGGACGCGUUAUGGCCACUAUGAGUUCGUGGUGAUGCCUUUCGAGCUCACCAAUGCUCCUGCCACAUUCAUGGACCUCAUGAACCGCGUCUGCAGACCGAUGUUGGAUCGGUCCGUGAUAGUUUUUAUCGAUGAUAUAUUGGUCUACUCCAAGACGCGAGAGCAGCAUGAGGAGCACUUGCGAGAGGUUUUGGGUACUUUAAGAAGGGAGAACUUGUAUGCUAAGUUCUCUAAGUGUGUGUUCUGGCUGGGCGAGGUGCAUUUUCUUGGGCACCUUGUCAACCAGGACGGGAUAUCGGUUGAUCCAGCCAAGGUUGAGGUCGUGAUGAGGUGGGAGGUUUUAAAGUCUCCAUCUGAGAUUCGAAGCUUCCUAGGAUUGGCAGGCUACUAUCGGAGAUUCAUUCAGGACUUCUUCAAGAUAGCCGUGCCCCUGACCAUGCUAACAAGGAAAGUCGUGGUCUUUCUCUGGGGGCCUGAGCAGUAGGCUGCGUUUGAGACGUUGAGACAAAGAUUAUGCGAGGCACCAAUCUUAGCUCUAUCGGAGGGCAUGGAUGAUUUUGUGGUAUAAUGUGACGCAUCCAUCUUAGGUUUGGGCGCGGUAUUGAUGUAGAGGGGGCAUGAUAUUGCUUAUGCUUCGAGGCAGCUGAAGCCUCACGAGGCGAAUUAUUCGACACACGACUUGGAGAUGGGGGCUGUUGUUUUCGCCCUCAAGAUUUGGUGUCAUUACCUCUAUGGCGUUCGUUGUACCAUUUACAAGGACCACAAGAGCUUGAGAUAUCUCAUAGACCAGCCAAAUCUGAAUAUGAGGCAGCGUCGGUGGCUUGAUGUGGUAAAGGAUUAUGACUGCGAGAUCCUCUACCACCCGGGGAAGGCUAAUGUCGUGGCCGAUUCGCUUAGCCGCAAGGCAGCGCCGAUCAGGGACAUCUGUCUAAGGAUAACAGUUGUGACUCCGCUGUUGGAGCAGAUUCGGGAGGCCCAACAUGAGGCCAUGAAGGUGGAAUAUCGAAAGAGUGAGCGAAUUGUGGGUCAGGUUUCCUCCUUCGACUAUGAUAGCCGGGGAUUGUUGACUAUUCACCGUAGGGUGUGGGUCCCUUAUCAUGGGGGUGUGCGCCAGGUAUUGAUGGCAGAGGCGCACAAAUCCAGGUUCUCUAUCCAUCCUGGGGCGACAAAGAUGUAUAGAGAUCUUCGUCUCCAUUAUUGGUGGCCCUGUAUGAAGAGGGACAUAGCCUGGGUUGUGGAGAGGUGUCUGACCUACAGGAAGGUCAAGGCUGAGCACCAAAGACCUCACGGCAAGGUCCAGCCGUUAGACAUCCCACUAUGGAAGUGGGAGAAUAGUGCGAUAGACUUCAUUAUGAAGCUUCCCAGGACCGCACGUGGAGUAGAUUCGAUAUGGGUCAUCGAUGAUCGGUUGACCAAGAGCGCCCAUUUUAUUUCGAUUCAGGAGAGUAUUUCGGAUGAAAAGUUGGCCGACAUCUACAUCAGGGAGGUAGUGGCGCGGCAUGGGGUGCCAGUUUCAGUGAUUUUCGACAGGGAUGUGCGGUUCACUUCCAGGUUUUGGAAGAAGUUUCAUAACUAGCUGGGUACUCGUCUGAAUUUUAGCACCGCCUUUCACCCUCAGACGGAUGGUCAGAGCGAGCAGACCAUCUAGACGCUAGAUGAUAUGCUGCGAGCAUGUGUUUUAGAUUUCCGAGGUAGCUUGGAUACCUACCUUCUGUUGGCAGAGUUCUCCUAUAACAAUAGGUAUCAUGCGAGCAUCGACCAUUCUCCUUUCGAGAUGUUGUUUGGGAGGAAGUGCAGGACCACGAUAUGCUGGGUUGAGGUUGGGCAGAGGGUCAUGGGGAGUACCGAAGUAGUACUCAAGACUACGGAGAGGAUCCAGCAGGUUCGGAGUAGGCUUCAAAUUACUCAGAGUUGGCAGAAAAGUUAUGCCGACAAGCGUCGAUCGGACCUGGAAUUCCAUGUCGGGGAUAUGGUGCUCCUGAAAGUGUCGCCUUGGAAGGACGUCAUUCGAUUCAGGAAGCGGGACAAGCUGGGCCCCAUGUAUAUUGGACCCUUCAGGGUUAUAGAUCGGGUGGGCAAGGUGGCGUAUUGGCUGGAUCUGCCGGCCGAACUCAGUCAGAUUCAUAGCACGUUUCACGUCUCCCAGCUGCGGAAGUGUCUGGUGGACGAUUCGUCAGUGGUGCUGUAACAUCCGGAUUUCCAGGUAUCAUGGACACGUAUGGACUCGCCGAGUUACCCGAGUGCACUCGACGAGUCUGGUUAAAGUUGGACUGUUGAUUGGGGUUGACUUUUAGGGUUUGGUCAACAUUUGGACAUUGGACCAUUGGAGGGGUAAAAUGGUUUUUUCCCCUUUUGAGAGAAUAUAGGGAGGGACUAGUCUAGCCUUUGAGAGCCGUAUUAAUUAGAUAUAAUUACUUUAUGUGAUUAGGCGGAGGCUAGAUCAGUGAUUCGAGUUUGAGACUUUUCGAGAUUACCCGAGGUGAGUCUUCUCACUAUACAUUACCUAGAGUGGUAACUAUGUGCAAACCGGAGGGUCUUAUAUGUUAUGUGUAUGUUUGAGUUUAUGUGCAUUGUGAUAUAUGUAUGCUAUGUGUUAUAUAGACCGGACCAGAGGGUAUAUAAUGAUUUAGACCGGACUAGAGGGUCCAAUGAUUUAGACCGGAUCAGAGGGUCCAACGAGCUAGACCGGACUGGAGGGUCUAACGAGCUACGGGGCUGGAGGGUCUCGCUGAGACACAUUGACCGGAGGGUCAUGCCGAGUUGUAGCCUCGAGUGGCUCAUGUGUUGUAUGUGGUAUUUUGGGGAACUCACUAAGCAUUUAUGUUUACCAUGUUAUGUGAUAUGUGUUUUAGGUAGCAUCGAGGAUCGUAGGAAGGCGCCGACAUGAUUUGUACACACUGGCAGGAGAUUAUGUGUUGAGAUUCUGGGAUAUGUUUUAUUAUGAUGACAUUUGAUACAUGAGAUUUGAGAAUAUUGUAUGAGUUUUAUUAUGCUGAAAAAUGAAAAAUUGUUUUAAAAUUUACGUUGUUACAAGUUGGUAUCAGAGCCUUGGUUUGAGGGAUUCGGAUGCACCUUCGGGCGUAUCUGAACACAAACUGAGGAUUUGAAGAAAGUUUUUCAUAAAAUAAACAAUUUUUCGAAAAGAGUAAGAGAUUUUGAGACAAGCAGAACGAAAUAGUGUGUACGAUCAGCCAGAGCCCGAACGGUGAUUUCCCAAAAUACCCUUAUGUUAUUUGUUAUGAGAUAUUAUGUGAUUUGCUAUGCAUGCUAGAGUAGGCUAGGUAUUCAUAUCUAGGACUAGAGUAGCCUGAUUUGUGAUGCCUUAGCCUAGGAGAUUACUGCUACUAUGAGAUACUUUGAGAGUGAGUAGGUAGCAGCGAGGAGCUUAUGAGUGGUCUACUAGAGGGUAGCAUGAAUUUAGUGAGAUAUAGAGUACUUGUGAUCUGGAAUCCUAGGAGGAGGACUUGGGGUGAAUAUCGGUGCGUUGUGGAAGGUAGUAUAGUGCCCGUACUACUGGAAACACCGGGUCUGUGAGCAGUCCAAGUAAGAAUCCUUAGGGUACUAAAGAACAAAGAGGGUUGAGUAUCGAGUGCGAGUAUACUCGAGCGAGUCUCUGAUUUCUUUUGUUUUGUAUUUCAGAGACAUCAUGGUUGGGACGCGCCACAACCCAGGAGGCAGUGGUACCAGUGAUGAGGAGAUUCGUAGGCUGAUUCACGAGGAGGUGUCUGCAGCCAUGCGAGCUGAGAUUCCUGAGAUGUUUGGGUCUAUAAAGACCACUUUGAUUGAGACGUUUGACGAGCGGUAUGCUUCUCUUACCAAGGCUACUGUUGCUGCAGCCACCGCAACCGUGACCGCUGCCAGGCCACAGGGGGUGACUCGUUGCUGUACCGAGAGUUCAGCAACACGAAGCCACCAGAGUUUGAUGGGUCUCAAGAUCCGAUAGCCGCGAUGAGGUGGAUCUCUGAAAUUGAGGGAUGCUUCUACACCUGUUUUUGUCCAAAGCAUCUGAGAGUAUGGUUCGCGCUGAACUAGCUUCGCUUGGGAGCGAAGGAUUGGUGGAAGUUUGUGAUGGCUGACUUCACUCCAGCAUAGAUUACAACGGUAAACCUGGGAGAGGUUCACCAUCAUGUUCCGAGAUGAGUAUGUUCCCCCGGUGGAGAGGGAACGUCUAGCCCAAGAGUUCUUGUCCCUUAAGCAGGGAACGAAUUCCGUGACUGUGAAUACAUGGAUGUUUCAUGAGAGGGCGUUGUUUUGCCCUAAGCAUGUGUCUACCGAGCAGACACAUAUGAGUCGAUAUCUGAGCAUACUGAGGAGAGACAUUCUUGAGUUCGUGGCGAACUCGACAUGCCGGACAUUUGCCGAGCUUCAGGAAAAUGCUCGGAAGAGGGAGAUUGAGCUGGAGACUCAGGCCAAGGAGGAGGCCGAGUCUUAGAGGAGGGAUAGGCGGCCGGUUCAGUCUCAACCGACAGCCAAGCGGGCAAAGCCCGUUGAUUCAAGUUGAGCCAAUUUGGAGCUGUUAUCGACUACGAGCGUUAGUUGGUGACCAUAGGAGACCUUAGUGGGGGAGUACUAAGGGUGUAUUGUUGGAUUAGUGUCUAAGUCCAUAACUAUUUUUGUAUGUACUUGACCCGAUGGUGCAUGGUCCUUUUGGGUUGCCUUCACCAAAGCAACUUGAUAGGAUGAAUUAUGGAGAGAAAAGAUUAAAUAUGAUUUAUUAAUAUAUUAUGAGAAUAAUAUAUUAAAGGAAAAAUCAUAUUGUUUAAUUAAUNAAUUGGUAAUUAGUUUUGUGACUAAAAGAGAUUAAUUAAACUUAAGGGACUGGAAUUGUAAUUAUAAGAUAAUUGCAAUUUGGGCCAUGGAUUGACUUAUAUUAAGGAGUGGACGAAUUCUAUGGGGGAAGCCCAUAAGAAAUCAUCCAAGGCCUUUAAGGAAAGGAGUCCAUGGGUUGCUUAGGGCUUAAGCAUCCAAAUUAGGGUUUCCUUGUUAGAUAACCCUAAUAGCCUCCUAUAUAUAUAGACCCCUUAAGGACCAAAAACGUGGACAAGCUUUAUUCUAGGGUUUCACACGUUUUUGGGCAGCCUCUAACCUGUAACCUCUCUCCUCUUCAUCCUGUUGCUUAUGGUGUUUGUGAACCAUUAGAGGAGUGUCAUUUGUGACUCUAAGCUUUCUAAAGUCAAUACAAGGAGAUUUGGGAUUGUUAUUGCUACAUAACAAUCAAGGUAACAUGUUAAACCUAUUCUUAUGUUAAUAUGAUUACUUGUAUGCUAGAAUUAGGGUUUAUAGUCUUGGAUAACUUGCAUGUACAAUAGAGAAACCUAGAUCCAAGCAUUAGGGUUUGUAUGAGCACAUAGGAUGUUCUUAUGACCAAAACCCAUCAGUGGUAUCAGAGCCUAGAUUGGUUUCUAUUGUAUUGAUGCAUUGUAUGAUUGAAAAAUUCGAUUUUUGUGGUUCUGGAGGCUGGACUCGCCGAGUCCAUGGAUGACUAGGCAAGUCGGCUGGUCAGAAGGAAGGAAAACCGGGAUUUCUUGUUGUUUUUGCUUAAGGAUAGUUGCCUUAUCAUAUUAGAUCAAUAUAAAUCCGAUUUUAUGAUAUAUUUGACUAUAUUCUUGAUCUAAUUGAAGAUAUUUAUCAAUUAAUAAAAUAUUUGUUUCCUUAUGUGAUAAUUGAUUAAUUAUUUUGAUUAAAUUGGUAAAUUGUUUUGCAAGAAAUCAUUAAAUAAAUCAAAUAUGGAUAAUUAUGUGAUUAAAUGUUAAUUUAGAUUAUUUGUUAUUUGAUCCUUGUGUUAUGAAAAGUUUCAUAUUUUCCCCUUUAGGUUUUAUAGUUUAAAUUUGAACCCAAAAGUUUUGUUGUUUUGAAAUUUAAAUAGUUGAAACCCUAAUGUUUUGAAAAAGGUUUCAAAACUUGCCCUCAAGUUUUGGAAUUUAAAUUUUGAUUAAUUGUUUAAUUUUGAUGUAUAUUUAAAUUCUAAACCCUAAUGUUUUGAAAUGUUUCAAAACUUGCCCUCAAGUUUUGGAAUUUAAAAGUUGAUUAAAAGUUUAAUUAGGAAUGUUAAAUUCUAAAACCCUAGUAUUGUUUUGAAAAAGUUCAAAUCACACCCUUAUGGUUUUAUUAAUUAAUUAAGGUGUAUAAUUAAAAGAGGUUUAAUAAAUCCAUAAAAGUUUUGGUUUACAAUUUAAUUGAAUUAAAAGUAUAAUUGUUAAAUUUGACCACCUAGUAUUUUAAAAGUAUAAAAUACACCCUAUACUAUAUAUAACAUUAAAAGUCUAACAUUAUAUAUAUGUAUGAGUAAAAGUCAGUCUUACCGUUAGUAGGCCUCAUUCACGAAGCUGGUCUAUAAGGGGUGUUUAAGGAAAUUGCCUAUAAAAUGGCGAUUGAAUGGGUAUCCACUCUUACCCACCGCACUCUUGACUAGUGGAGGGUCGUUAGCCGAACGGGUAGGAUAGGACGAAACCUUCCAUUAUAAGUAUAAUGAAGUAUAAAAGUAACUAAAUGUUUUCAUAAAAUUCCCAAUCUUAGUUACUUAGGCAAAAGUGAAUUGAUGCAAUUCCAUGAAAUUACACUUUGUGCCCUUGCGAAGACGUUAGUGGAGCGUGUGUGGUUUACCGGCACACUAAAUGGUUCUAAGCAAAGGUAGCAAAGGGUGACUCAAUGUUUGUCAUAGUUCGGUGGAGCGUGUGUGGUUUACCGGCACAUCGAAUAGGUGACUGUAACAUGUGAGGGCACCAUGUAAGUUUGCAUGGUUAUUCACACCCGCUUUGUGAUCCUCGGCAUCCCAGUCACAAACAAGAGGGGCAUAUCGAGAUUUAAACAUGCCAUUGAAAGUUCAAUGAAUCUCAAAGGAUCUAGGAGUUUUCAUAGAUUUAAAACUUAAAUUUCUUUUUCGUUUUUCAUGGUGGAAAUUAGUGAAUCGUCAUUCACUUACCUUCAAAUAUUCUGCAAUUAGGGUUACGGCAUCCCUCUCCCGAGUUGUAGAAUAUUGUGUUGGGUCCUAGCCUUAGUAUCUCAUUUGGGUGAUUUACUAAGGACUCAAUCAAUCAACUAACUUGAAUUCGUUUUCUCCCGUUUUGUAGAUGUCAAAGUUCGACAACUAUGGUCUUCCCAAAUCCCGUGGAACAAGCAUUCCACAUGAAGAUGAUAUUCCACGAUUCGAUCGAGGAACAAGAAAUCAUGCUUCACUUCCUCCUCCUCCUCCAAUUAUUCUCCCUAACCCACAAGUUCAAAGGCUUGAAAAGUUCAAGAUCACUCAAGCCCUUUUGGCAAGUAAACAUAAAGAAGGAAAGUCGGUGUGUGCACACGUCCUAGGGAUGAAGUCACACAUUGAUAGGUUAAGAAUGUUGGGAUCCGUUGUCUGUGAGGAAAUGGCUGUUGAUUGGGUUCUUCAGUCACUUCCUAACUCAUAUAGUGAGUUCGUAAGAGAGUACUAUAUGAUGAACCGCGACGUGACCCUUAUAGAUCUCACCUAUAUGCUUAUUGCUGCUGAAUCAGCAAUGGUUUGGCGCAAUAGAAAAGCAAAGUUGAUUGGUGAAUCUGCCUUCAAGACCUCUAUGGAUAUAGACAAUGGCAACGAAAGACAUGCUAUGAUCGAAAAGUUUGAUCAUAAGAGAAAGGCAAUGUCUGAAGUAGUUCCAUGUCAUGUUCCAAAAGAGUCAAUUUGCUUUUAUUGCCAAGAGAAAGGGCAUUGGAGACGAAGCUGCCCCAUUUACCUAAGAGAUCUAAGAGAUGGGAGAGUCGAAACGUAUGGCUCUAAUAUAGGUAAAAUCCAUUAACUAACUCUUUUAAGCUUCUAUUCUAGAUUCUUAAUACAUAAUGUGAUAAGAUUACAAUUGAUGUUUUGUAGGAUCGAAGAAAAGAAAGGAAGCUUAAGGGAAGAAGUGAGCAGAAUCUAACCGUGAAGGAAUGGAUUUCGAUCGCAUUUCUCGAAGAUUAGAUUCUUGAGCUACUACUUAGAGUUAGAAUUAGAUUGCUAAGAAAGAUGUAUUAGCAUAGUUUUUCAAUGAAUUGCAUUGUAAGGACAAAUUUUUUCCGCAAUAAAAUAAAUUUUGAUUUUAUAUUAUUUAUUUAUCCUUGCAAUGGCGUAUAUGAAAAAUUGAUGUUUGAAUGUUUCUAUUAUUAGCAAUAAUGGAUUUGGUUCUUAUUAUGUUAUUUAUGGAAAGUCGAGAAUUUACCAAAUAGGGAGAGUUUCUCAUCGCCCAAGUUUCAAUUGGACAGAAACUUGGAAUCAUGCAACUUGGUUGCACGAUGAAUGAGAAAUUUCAUAUUUGGAAAUUAGACUAAUUCAUUGACAAAGUGUCAAGUGAAGGACUAGGAGAUCGAGUACACAAAGUUGCGUGUUGAUCAAGUCCACCAUAAGAGUAACAAAGAUAUUCGUCAUGAUUUACUAAAGGUUUAGUAAAUAUGAUUAUACUUACAAGAUUAAGUGUAAUUCUGAAUUGAUUGAAAAAGUUUAAAUCAAUAGCAGAACGAAUAAGAAGAAUCAAGUAGGCAGAAAGAUAAAAGUUUCUCCAUUCUAAGAAGAAGGGAGAGUACCUUUUAUGCUUUAUGAUAGGUCUUAAUGAUUAAGAACCAUAUCUCAAUUGAUCCUCUAAGUGAGUCUUAGUACAAUUGUAUGUCUAAGAAGAGGAAUCAAGAAUUGAAGAAAUGGUUAAAUCAAGAAGUCAAUCAUACUUCGUUCCAAAACAAGUCUUAGAGUUAAGAUUGUGACAUUGAGUGAUAAGUAUUAAGAAGGUUUAUAACAUUCAUCAAAUGUGGAAAGUUGUGAUGUCUUGGAUAAGACAAAGACCAACUAGGACCAAUUUAUGAAGUGUUUUGAUAAAAACUACACUAACUCUUGAAUAUUUGUUUGUCAAGAAAUGUUUAUUGACAAGAGAAUCUUAUAUGUCAAGGAGUCAGUGGGAGUCUUAAUGGUCUUGAAAGGUUUCAAGAACAAAUCAAAAUAAACCUUAUCGAUCAUCACUAGCACACGAGUUGAGGUUUACAACCUAUCGUGUUGACACUAUUUUGUUUCUGUGCCAUUCCAAUUGAGUUAAUUAUGCAUGUGAGUUCUAUGAGUUCUCAUUUGAACGCAUAAAAGGCAGGCACCUUGAUCAAUGGAAAGUACAUUGAUAGGAAAGGGUGAGCUGCUUAACUACUUGGAAGACAUGGUGGGCAGCUGUGUUACCAUAAGGCAAGAAAUCAAGAUUAAGAAAGUUCGGUCCAUAUGAGUUUGAAUUUGUCGUAAACUUUGGUUUUGACAAAUUCACAUGGAUAGGAACACAUACACCAUUAAAAUCUAAGUGUCAUAAGAUUCCCUCCUUCAUGAAAAUGACUGUGAGGAAAUGCUUUCACUAAGAGAGAUUUUAAAAAGAUAGUGAUUGUGAAAAUUGGAUUCUCGAAUUCGAUUAUGGUUACGGUAUCCCUUUCCAUGAUUCGAAUUGUGAGAUUUGGCAAUUAGUCUGAAUUGUUUAGACACACAUAUGAGCUAUCUAAGGCAAAGGUGUAUAAGCUUAGAUAAAGGAUUAUCAAAGCAUUAAGUAUUAGAAACAUGAACUUAAGAAAUUCAAUAAGUAUUGUUUUUCUGGAAGUUAAGCUGGUUUCUGAAUACAUGUCAAAGCUAGUGGGAGCAUAAGUGUUAUGUUUAUAAUAAUCAUCAUGAUAGUGGGAGCAUAAAUGUUAUGAUUGUAUGAUUAUUAAGGAAAGUAUUGCAAGUUAGCAAUAUUAAUUAUAGAAAACAAGAGUUAUACUUUGCAAAGUCGUAAGGGUUGAAAAGUUGUUUUGCUAUAAUUAAGGGAGAGAAUAUUAUGCUUCAUUUCAAAUCUAAAGGCUUAGGUUGUGGAAUGUUAAUAAAUUUAGUCAAGGAUACAUAGUGUGUUCUCAAAUUUCGAUUAUGAUUAUGGCAUCCCUCUUCAUAGUUCGAAUUGUGAGAACGUGACACAUAAAAUAUUAUGGCAGAAGAUUGAUAAAGUAUCAUAUCUUUAUGUAAGACAUUAUGCAUCGUGUCCCAUACGCUUCGGGUAUAGGAUCGAUUGCAAAUGCUAUAAUAUUUGACCAUUCUAAAAUUUUCCAAAUGUCUAGCGCAUUUAGAGGGAAAAAGGACUAGAAUCGGUUUUGACUAAGAUAAUUAAACAACUAUCAAAGGACAAUCCAAAGUUCGCCGAGGAUUGGUCGCUUGUGAGUAGUUGGAAGUAUAGUAUUGGAUGGACCAUAUCGACAUUAUUAUGAAUAGAUAAGAUUCUAUUAAGAAUGAAUUGUCAUAUGGCAAAUAUGGAAUUGUUUCCAUAUUGAGAGAUGGAUAUUGAGAAUCUAUGUCUAGAUUAGAAACUUUUAUGCAAGAAGGAUAUUCAAAGGAAUGUACUUUGAGUAAGAGACAUCAUAUCUAUAUAAUUGUUUCUGAUAGAGAUUGGCCAAGUCUUGAUGAUUUUGAGUCGUGACUUUACGAAAGGAACAUUGCAUGAAAUGUUAGAAUCUAGCAUAUUCUAUAAGUGGCAAGAAUUUUAUAUUCUUUUACUUUUGAAAACGGAUUUGGAGUUGUGAAAUGAGUAUGAUUGCAAAUGUGUUCAAUGUGACGUAUUUCAUAAAGUAAGAACCAUAGGUAAACAUUGUGUGCAUGCUAAGAGCAUGGGACAAGUGUAGUAAUAAUUCAAGUAAGAAGUUGAUUACCCGAAACAACAAAUAAUGAGUAAUCGAUAUGGUGAUAAAUAAAAGGUGUUUUAUUUAUACUCAAAGGUUUGAGGCCAUAUGGGAUUAGUAUUAUUCUUGUGUUUCACUUUGCAUGUUUUGACUUCCUGAAUAAUUUAAUUGGUUCAGAACAGUCAAAUUAUUCGAACGGGCCACAGUCGUUCAUAUGUUGGAAGUAGGUAUGAAUGAAGACUGUCGUGAAUUGGUGUGUGGAAUGUCUAAAAGAGUAUUAGACAUAAGCAAAUGUUUGCUGCAACGUUCAUGAGUGCUUAUGAAUAUGAUUUGAGCAUUGGAUUAAACCCACGCUCACUUGGAUCACUCCAUGAAUUGUAUCACGAGUGAUUGGUGAGACGAUAACAUCUUAUAUUCUUGAAACCGAGAUGUGUGAGUUGUAUCUUGCAAAUCGGUUGCACAUUGAUAAUAUGUAAACGCACUAGUAACUUGGUGUUAUAAAACAUAUUGUUGUGUGUGAUUCGGUGAGUGAGUGCAAGCAAGCAUUGUAUCAAAGUUUAUCCGUUCCUUUUAUCCAAAGUAGGAUAAAAGCGAUAUCUUUGGGCCCCUCGAUGAUUUAGUGAUGACAAACGUAAAUGCUCGGCCGGGCUAGGGCUAAUUUGAUUUGUUCAAUUAGUCAGUCGUCAUAAAUCGGGAAUCGAGAUAUAGUACAAAGAGAAUGAUUUGAAAUCAUAUCUCAUACGAUAUCUAGAAUGGAGGAAUAUAUGAUCCCUUAUCUAAAAGACACGCGUAUCUGAUAGGAUCAGAGUUGACAGCGGCUUUGGAAAGCUACGAUUGCAGAUCAGGAUCUGAAGUCAUACGCAUAAUAGUUAUUAGACUUAUCCAAGUGGGAGACUGUUGGAUUAGUGUCUAAGUCCAUAACUAUUUUGGUAUGUACUUGACCCGAUGGUGCAUGGUCCUUUUGGGUUGCCUUCACCAAAGCAACUUGAUAGGAUGAAUUAUGGAGAGAAAGGAUUAAAUAUGAUUUAUUAAUAUAUUAUGAGAAUAAUAUAUUAAAGGAGAAAUCAUAUUGUGUAAUUAAUAUUAGUCAAGAAUUAAUAAGAAUUAAGUUUGUGACUAAAAGAGAUUAAUUAAACUUCAGGGACUAGAAUUGUAAUUAUAAGAUAAUUGCAAUUUGGGCCAUGGAUUGCCUUAUAUUAAGGAGUGGACGAAUUCUAUGGGGGAAGCCCAUAAGAAAUCGUCCAAGGCCUUUAAGGAAAGGAGUCCAUGGGUUGCUUACUUCCUUGCUAUCAGUGAGAGCUCUUCUGCGGAGAGGCUGGCAGAGACAUAUGUGAGAGAGGUGGUGUUGCAGCAUGGAGUGCCGAUCUCGAUUGUGUCAGACCAAUAUGUAUGUUUCACUUCCAAGUUCUGGAAGAAGUUCCAUGAGGAGUUGGGUAUGAGAUUGCACUUCAGUACUGCGUACCACCCACAGACGGAUGGAUAGAGUGAGCGGACGAUUCAGACAAUCGAGGACAUGCUUCAAGCAUGUGUUAUGGACUUUGGUGGAAGUUGGGACAAAUACCUACAUUUGUCUAAGUUUUCUUAUAACAACAACCACCAUUCGAGUAUUGGUAUGCCUCCCUUUGAGCUUUUAUAUGGGAGGAGGUGUCGGACCCCCAUCUGUUAGGGAGAGGUAGGGCAGUGAGUGAUGGGUAGCACUGAGAUAGUGCUUAAGACAACUGAGCAGAUACAACAAGUCAGACAGAGGUUACUGACAGCUCAGAGCUGUCAGAAGAGCUGUGCGGCGAUUCGAGCUCGAGUUCCAGGUUGGCGAUUUCGUACUCCUAAAGGUAUCUCCUUGGAAAGGAGUGAUCCGAUUCAGAAGAGGGGCAAGCUGGGGCCCCGAUAUAUUAGUCCGUUCAGGGUGACUGCAAGGGUGGGUAAGGUAGCAUACCGUUUGGAGCUACCUGAGGAGUUGAGUCAGAUCCAUGAUACCUUCCAUGUAUCCCAGUUGAGGAAGUGUAUAGCCAUAGAGACGACGGUUUUUCCAUUAGAGAAUAUUCAAGUGGACGCGAGUCUGAAUUACAUUGAGAGGCCGAUCGCAAUCUUGGAUCGGAGGAUCAAGGUUCUGAGGAACAAAGAGGUGCCCCUGAUUCAGGUCCAGUGGCAACAUCGGAGAGGGUCCGAGCUGACUUGGGAGCCAGAGACGGAGAUGCAGGAGCAACAUCCAGAGUUGUUUGUAGAGCGAGACUUCGAGGACGAAGCCUGAUUCUAGUGGGGGAGAAUUGUAACAUCCGGAUUUCCAGGUAUCAUAAUCGAGGAUUUAUUUUUGAGUCAAGGAGAGGGACUCGACGAGAAUUGUAGGAUCGCAACUGCUGACUAGGAUUAAUGAGUGGACUCGAUGAGUCGGCAAGUCGACUCGAUGAGUCCGUGAUAUGGACAAAUACCCUAAAUCUUUGGGCAUGGACCCUAUUUAAGGGUCCUUAUGGCCCUCAUUGCGGCCACACACCCACUUGAGAAACCUUAAUGAACCAGAGAGCAUAGAGAGUGAGGGAAGGAGCUAAUUGCAUCAACUUUAGUGCAUUCUUGCAAGAAGGAGAGAAAGGAUUCAAGCUAGGCUGAUUGAGGAGCUCAGAUCUACCAUUAUUUCUUCAAAGGUUUCUGUUGAGGUAUGAAUCCAUGCCUAUUUUCGUGUAUAUAGUAGAUCUCUUAAAUCUAGGGUUUCUUUACCCUUUCUUUAGUUGAACUAUGGAGAAUGUGAAGUCCUAUUGAGGAAUAGACUUUAGAUCUGGACCUUGAGAGGUCCAGAGUGUCCCAACAACCAAGCUUUAUGCUGUUACAUGAGGAUAUUGAGCUUAGGACUCCAUGUUUAGAGCUAUUACAGAAAAUAGAGCCAUAUGUGCGAUGCGUGAAUGUAAUGUUCAGACCUUUACAUGACUUUUGGGUUUUAGAAGGUCAGAUCUAUAAGUUAGAGAAACAGAUCUGACCUCAGAAGGUCGUUUGAGCAUUCUCAUGGAAGAAACUCGCCGAGUCCAUGAGAGGACUCGACGAGUCGGAUCGUGUUGCACCACGAUUCGUGAUCAGUGGUAACACGUCGAGAGAGAGGUUAACUCGACGAGUCGAGUGAGGCCUUAGGAGGAUUCAGAGGACAUACAUGGACUCGCCGAGUCACCCGAGUGCACUCGACGAGUUUGGUAAAAGUUGGACCGUUGACUGGGGUUGACUUUUAGGGUUUGGUCAACAUUUGGACAUUGGACCGUUGGAGGGGUAAAAUGGUAUUUUUCCCCUUUUGAGAGAAUAUAGGGAGAGACUAGUCUAGCUUUUAAGAUCUGUAUUAAUUAGAGAUAAUUACUUAAUGUGAUUAGGCAGAGGCUAGAUCAGUGAUUUGAGUUCGAGACUUUCCGAGAUUACUCGAGGUGAGUCUUCUCACUAUACAUUACCUAGAGUGGUAACUAUGUGCAAACCGGAGGGUCUUAUGUGUUAUGUGUAUGUUUGAGUUUUUAUGGAUUGUGAUAUAUGUAUGCUAUGUGUUAUAUAGACCGGAUCGGAGGGUCCAACGAUUUAGACCGGAACAGAGGGUCCAACGAUUUAGACUGGACCGGAGGGUCCAACGAGCUAGACCGGACUGGAGGGUCCAACGAGCUAUGGAGCUGGAGGGUCCCGCUGAGACAUAUUGACCGGAGGGUCAUGCCGAGUUAUAGCUCGAGUGGCUUAUGUGCUGUAUGUGGUAUUUUGGGGAACUCACUAAGGAUUUAUGCUUACCAUGUUAUGUGAUAUGUGUUUCAGGUACCAACAAGGAUCGUGGGAAGGCGCCGACAUGAUUUAUACACACUGGCAGGAGAUUAUGUGUUGAGAUUCUGGGAUAUGUUUUAUUAUGAUGACAUUUGAUACAUGAGAUUUGAGAAUAUUGUAUGAGUUUUAUUAUGCUGAAAAAUGAAAAAUUGUUUUAAAAUUUACGUCGUUAUAGGUGCCUUUGGAGGAUGUUCAGGUUGAUGACAGCCGGAACUAUAUCGAGCGGCCAUUGGCGAUCCUUGACAGGAAGUCAAAGGAUCCGCGGAACAAGAAAGUGGAGCUGGUUAAGGUGUAGUGGCAGCACCGCAAGGGCUCCGAAUGGACCUGGGAGCUGGAGGACGAGAUGAGGGAGCAUUACCCAGAGCUUUUUCAGGUUCGAGCAGCAGACUUUCGCGACGAAGUCUGAGAUAAGUUGGGGAGAUUUGUAACACCCGAUUCCUGGUAUAUUUUUAAUUCAAGAAUUAUAUGUAUUUUCUCUGGGACUCGACGAGUUGGUGGCCCAACUCGUCGAGUAGAGACGAGAUCCGCGGGAAGUUUAAGUAACCCAGUCGACGAGUCGGAGACUGACUUGGCGAGUAGGUGCAGUUUGAGUGAAACCCUAAAUCUGAGGGUUUGCACCCUAUUUAAACGCGUCAACUCAGCCUCCAUUGUCCUUAUCACUUCCAGAACACCUCAUGUCGAAACCCUAGCCACUUUGAGUGAUCUAAGGCCAUUUUUGGUGCUUUUGGGUGGUUUGUGAAGCUUAAAAGGAAGGAAGAAGCUUGGGAAUUUGAGUUGGGGCUUGUAGAUCCAGAGAUCUUGUUCCAUCUUCAGCUCAAUCAAGGUAAAUUCCCACUAUUUUGGUCUUCCAUUUGGUUAUUCAUCUUUAGGGCUUAGAUUUUGGGUGCAUUUAGGGCUUUCCAAGCCAUUUUCAGAUUUGUGAAGUGUUUCAUGGAGUUCUACUUUCAGAUCCGAGUCAUUGGAGGGGUCUCAUGGCAUAAAGGUGCCAACUCUAUGACCAUGAGAGCCCCAUGUACAUUGUAAAGCACCUUUUAUGGAAUUUUGAGCCAAAGACCCCAUGCAUGUGCACCAAGUUUGGAACUUUACGUGUAAAAUGGACAUUAGGAGGCCAGAUCUAUGGUUUUGAUGUGUUAAGACCCAUUUAAAUCGACUAUAUAGUAAUGGUAAUGGAUGGACUCGACGAGUCACUCUUGGGACUCGGUGAGUCGAGGUGUAUUGACCACCAAAUCCUUUCUGAGGAUGGACCAGUUGUUAGGGAGGAAGUCCCGUGGAUGUUUGGACACGAAAAAGGACCUGGGAAUCCUGGGACUCGAUGAGUGUAUGAACAGACUCGGCGAGUCCAAGGCAAUCUCCCAACCUUGAAAAUGGACUCGACGAGUUGUUCAUACAACUCGGCAUGUCAUAGACUGGACACGUUCUUAUGAGGGAGAUGAACACGCCGAGUUGAAGGAGGAAGUCGGACAGUCGGAUGAAGAUGGUCCCGAUGGUUUGAAUGAAGGAGAACCCGUCGAGUUUUUGCUAGACUCGACGAGUGAAGUCAGGGUUGGAUCGGGUUAGUGGAGUAUGGACUCGACGAGUUGGUAGGGCAACUCGGCGAGUCAGGUCAACUGGGUUUUGACUUUGACCAAUGUUGACUUGUUUGGUUUAAGUAUUGACCAUGGUUAGGGUUGUUUGUUCUGUUUGAUGACUUGAGGGUUGUCAUGUAGGGAUUGAGAGGUCGAGGAGAGCUGACCUUCACAUCGAGGACAGUUCAGACGCUACACGGAAUUGAGGUGAGUUACCUUCCAGUAGAAGUGGGUCUACGGCACCAAGGUCGGCCCACUAGUGGUUGUUUAGCUGAGAUGACUGUCUUUGUGAUAAUUGUUUGGUCUGCUAUUGUUGAUAUGCGAGUAUGCUAGUUUUCUUGAUAUGUGACUAUGCUAGUUUGCUAUGUUACAGGAGAUAGUAUCAGUAGGAGGGGACUAGUCCCCGAGUUGGUCAAUAGGACCAACGGGUAGGUCGGGCACCCCGGAUAUGUAUGACAGUAUGAUAAAGAUAUGAUAUUAUGUUUUAGCUGUACGGGGUGAAAUAGUCCCCGUGUACGGUUGAAAGACCGGUUCAGCACCCCAGAAUAGCCUGACAUGGGUAAGUCAGCACCCUAGAAUGGCUUGACACGGGUAGGACGGGCGCCCCAAAAUAGCUUGACAGUAUAUAUACUUUGUGAUUGUAUGGUAUGUGGUAUGAUGGGGGAACUCACUAAACUUUGUGCUUACAGUUUUAGUUUUGGUUUCAGGUACCUCUUCGUCUAAAGGGAAGGAGCCGACGGUGUUGAUGGGUUUUGACCAUAUGAACAUUCCUAUGUGCACAUACAAACCCUAAUGCUUGGAUCUAGGUUUCUCUAAUUAAACAUGCAAUGGAUCCAAGACUUCUAAUAGCUAAUAGAGUAUAAGAACAAUACAAAAUCAGAGUUAGAAGCUUACCUUGAAACACUUGUUUGAUCUUCUUGUUCUUGGAGCUUUAGAGUCACAAAUGUCACUCCUCUAAUGGCUUACAAACACCAACUAGCAAGAGGAUGAUUGGAGAGAGAGGAGAGGGAAUAAAUCGGCCAGGGUUUCUCUUCUUUUUCAGAGGUGCCAAUUUCCCUUGCCCCAAGGGUCUAUUUAUACUUGUAAGGCUCCUAGGGUUUCACCCCUAAACCCUAAUUGGAUAACUUUUACUCAAAGCAAUCCAAAUCCUUUCCAAGAUAAGCCCUUGGACGAUUUGUGGCUUAUCCUAAGCCCUAGAAAUCGUCCAACCCUAUCCAUAAAGGAUUUACAGCCCAAAGUGUAACUAUCAAACAAUUGACAGUUUAUACCCUCUUAUUUAAUUAAUCUCUUUAAGUCACCAAAUUAAUUCUAAUUAAUUUAUGACUUAUAUUAAUCAAAUAACAAUAUUAUUAUUCCUUAUAUUAUUCUCAUAAUAUAUUAAUAAUAUUUAUUCUCUCAUAAUAAAUCAUCCUGUCAAGUUGCUAUGGUGAAGGCAACCCAAAAAGACCAUGCACAAUCGGGUCAAAUACUUGCCUAAUAUAGUUGUAGCCUUAGACACUAUUCCAACAGGUGUAGCAGCGCAUCACACACACACACAUGGUUUCCGCAUGGAGUUUUCUGGGAAUGUACUCUGAUUUAUUUUACUUUGACAAUAUGAUUUUCAAACACAUUGUUAUGUUUCUUUUUACAAAUGACAUGGCAUGGGAAAUGUUUUGGUAUACUAUGUUGUGGGUUACUUAAUUAAAAAUGAAAAUUUGGGCUUGAAAUUUGGGUUGUUACAGAAAAGCUCUAUUGGUCCCUCUCAUUUAACCGAAAACCGCUAUUGGGCCCAUAUUGGGCCAAAAGUUCUCACCUAAACUCCAUAAAAUCUUCUUGGGACACUCUUUUAGGCCAAUCGGUUUUAAUAAAAACAAAAAAGACGAAAAAGAUAAUAUGUGCAAUAAUGCUUAUGAACUCACCAACAUUCUAUGUUGAUGCUUUUCAAAACAACUUGUAUUCUUAGGGACUUAGUGAACAGGUAGUCAAGCCUUGGAUCUGGAUUAUUUUACUACCUUUUGAGCAAUCCUACUUUAUGUUAUUUUGUGUAAUUGUUAAACAAGUACAAUUUGUAAAACAAUGAAUGUUGGUAUAUUGUUAUGUAUGAUGUUUGGUUGCUAUGUUUCAUUCAUAUUCAAUUGUUAUGAUACAGUACAUGAAGUCAUCCACCCCCGGACGUUUCCGCCGUCUUGGUUUGGGGGCGUGACGGAUUGGUAUCAAAGCAUUGUUUAUAGUAAACUAGUAUAUCUAACCAUACAAGAUAUACAACUAUAAAUACAAUGGGACUAAAACACUCUGACUAAAAGUAUACCUUAAGGAUAUAAGUAUCUUCUAAAAGUAUACAUACUUGCUAGAACCGUAUUAUAAUAAGAACAAAACAAAAGUAUUUAGAUGUUGAACACUACAGUCAAACCUAGGCAGUUAUGUAAUCAUAUCUAAGAUAAAUAUAGCCUGAUCAACUAUAUUUAUUUGUGAUACGACCAACAUGUUUUUGGGAGUGAGGGUAGUGUUGCAACGAGUCUAAAACUUAUCAACUUUACAUGCAAAGGAGCAUUAGAACCAAACCUAAAGCUUAAAAUACUAUGGGGGUAUUUUAUGAUACCAAACAGUAACAACAAGUCUAAAGAAAAAUUUAUCGAUUUCGUACAACAGGAAACCCUAGGAUCAAACAUGUACUGCUAUAGUAGUACUUUAGAAUACUAUAUGACCUCCACACUUAAACUUUCUACAUGUAUCUCCUACCUCUAUUCUCGCAUAGGCAACAUGGCUGAAUCUCUCCACGAAGACCCCUACUAUCCUGCCGUAGUGGCCAACGAAUGGAUCGAGGAAGAACCAGGAGAUGCUCAUGAAGAAAACCUAGAAGUGGGUCCUGAGGAGUACCUGGAGAUGGACUAUGUGAUGCCCGUGUUUCUAGGCUAGGCAUUAAUAUUGACAUAAUAGUCUAGGUUAACCUUUGUAACUCAUUUUGAAGAAAUGAAAAGGAAUUAUGUGAAUAUUAUGCGUUUUAUGCUUAAUUAUUAGGAUUUAAUUAAUUAAGAAUAAAAAUGAGCGUCGAAAAUAAAUAUUAGAUAAAGCCGAUAUCUAUUAAGAAAGUUGUAGUGGUCGUGACAAGGAUUACAGAUAUAUAAAGAAUACCGAAAUCCGAGUUAUAACGAAGAAGUUAUGACCUGUCGAAGUUUCGCGACCAAACCGGCACAGUGCCGAAUGACGUAAAAAGUGAGUUUUUGAUAAGCUACUUUUUAGCCUUAGUGAUCUAAAUGAAAAUCAUAGUGUUCGUUAAACCGAGAGUAUGUAUAAAAAGAACGUCCAAAUCUGACUUCGUAUGAGGAAGUUAUGAUGUUUCUAAGUUUCAGGUUAGCAGUAGACAGCUAAAUACUCGAAUUUUAGAUCGAGUGAUUUUUAGCCAACACAACCUAAACAAGAAUCGAAGGUCUCGUCAAUAGUAGUACAACGGUAAAAAGUCAGCCGAAAACGGACGUUGGAUGAAGAAGUUAUAAAUUUUUAACGAAUUUCCUGUCCCGGUUUGUUAAAAAUAAUAAUAUAAAAAUUAAAUCAAAAUUAGCCGACGAAGUCUAAACGAAAGUUGUAGUGCGUAAUUUUACCUACGCGUGCAUAUAAAGAACGACAAAAAAGGAGCCCGUAUGCGGAAGUUAUGGAUUUUAGAAGAUUGGGGCACAAUUUUCGAGAAUUUUCGCAUGAAUAGUGUCGGCCACGUCACCGCUCUCGUGAUCAGCCUCAUGUCCGACCAGUCGACACGUGCCGCUUUCGGAUUCAACCGAAGUCGCAGCCAACCGGCAUCCGACGCGCCUCGCCCCGUGUCGCGUCCGAAUGUCGCACAGGCGGCCCUUCGCAUGCACGCCGCGAGCCUUCGCCUCCUGUUGUCACGUGCCUUCACUGCGACCUCCUUCUCGGCCGACCGUCACAUCCUCGGGUAAUUUGGAGAAAUUGCCAUUUUCACCCAUUUUCAAUAUUUUUAUUACUUUCACUUCCCCCGAAGCCCCGAUAUUAUUUUUAACACCCGAAACACGCCCCGAAGUGCCCGAAGACCCGGAAAAAUUUAUCUUUUCAGUUUUGAAGCUCAACCCUCGCGGAUCCCGGUUUCUCAAUAAAACUCCCAUUUUUAUUAGAAACGAUCGUUUUAGGAAACGAAGUGAUGCCCGAUUAUCAUUAAAUCAGAUGAGUGUAUAGUCACUUUCAUCUUACACAUAGAUAUGAAGUAUUUUAUAUAAUAUAUGUGGUAUGUGAAUAUAUAUUGUUUGUUUAUUUGAGAUGGAUGUUGAAGGAAUGAUUUAUAUAGGUCUUUAAAUAAUUUAAACUGUAUAUGUAUUUUUUUAUCUACAAAAAUGUUGGGUAAAACAAGGGUAGAUGAAAUAGUUGGUAUGUGAUGAAAGAUGAGUUGGAUAAAUGAUAUGAUCGAUGAUACAGAUCAUGAGAUAAGGUUGAGUGGUGAAAUAUGAGAGAAGCACUUACUCAAAUGUGGCCCCCGUCAUUCAGCAGAGUAUGGAUGACAACCAUGGACUAUUCUAAACGGUCCAUGGAACACUAGCAGGCUCGCAAUCUGUAAGUGUGUGAACUAUAUUUUCAUCAGCUAUACUCUAAAAACCCAUUGACAUGUAUUGCAGGGGAGAUUCCCGUGAAUAAUACUGUUGAUAAAUAAGAGCUAUGGACUUAGCACAUGUUGUAUAAACCCUGUCAGAUAUGGACUUAGUGCCUGUUGUAUAAAACCUGACGACGAUGUGACUUCGUGCCUAUUCCUUAGGAUGAAUCCUUAGGAAUGAGUGAUAGUUGAUUCUUAGGGUAAAUCCUUAAGAAAUAAAUAAGAUAAUGGGGUUGGGGUAAUUUGGUUGAUUUUUUGAUGUUUAAGCAUAAUAAAUUUAUUUAUUGCGGGUUAAAAACCCUAUAUGCUCACUAGGCUCCCAAUCCUGACCCACUUAACUUUUUAUAUUACAGGUAGUGGACCCCGAACAUAGUUGGUUGAUGAUGAGUGAUUUUUGGAUUAUAGGCCAUUAGUUGUAAAUAACUGUUGUAAGGCUUAUAAUGUCAUGUUUAUACUUUUGAUCUGUAUCGGAACAUGACAUCCCGAGGUUUUGAUAUAAAAUGAAUAUAUAUAUANNNNNNNNNNNNNNNNNNNNNNNNNNNNNNNNNUAUAUAUAUAUAUAUAUAUAUUUAUUUAUUAAAGAAAGGUUUUGAUAAAUUUUUAUCAUGUUUUGUUUUGGGAACAAAUUCCGCAACAUCUUUUAAAAGGAUUACUCUGAUUUUAUUUUAAAAAUCAUAAAAUAAAUCGGUCUUUUAUGGCCGAGAAAUUAGGGGAUGUCACAGACUACGAGGGAGACGAUUCUGAUGAGGAGUCAGAUGAGGGUGAAGGCGCCAGAGGGAUCCUUAGCGAGCCUUACCCAUCGGGAGAAAUACAAAUCCAGCCCGCAGAGCAAGAGGAUCUUACCGACCGUCUACACUCCUUAGAGGAGGAAGUGAUCACGCUAAGGCAACAACUCAUUGAGGCUACGGCUAGGGCAACCUUAGAAUAACAGAGAGCGGAAGAGGCCACUCGUGAAAUGAGCGAAAUGGUUGGGCGCCUGGUGCGCCACUUCGGCAUAUGAGAGUCAUUACACUACACGCACUACGUCUUAGGUUUAUUAUGUCUUCGUUACAACUAGUAGUCAUAAAUCAAGAAAGGUGUGCCCUCCAAGAAUCCAUGUAAUCCAAAUUCACUAAAUGUAUUGAUAGCUAUAUUCUAUUAUGAUAAACUUAGCGUUUGUACAAUGUCUAUUUCUACUCUUUACCAUAAAUACAUCAUCGGGAUGUAGGUCGAAGCAUUUAGAAUCAUACAACCACAUGUGAAAUUUAUAUGUGAAUAUAAAUAGAUGGAUACAACUAGAACUGACUUUGGUUACUCACGCCCUUGUUUCUCCUCAUGCAACAUAAUUAUGUCCUCCCAUGGAAACAACCAGCCAACCAGCGAAACUCCGAUCCUACAAAUAGACUCCGCUACCUUCCAAGUCGCAGCGACAACUAUCAUGGCACAAAUCAACAACACAAAGGGAGAUGAAAACGAAAAAGGUAUCAACUCCAACUGCGGUAAUAACCAGGGGCACCAACGAGGGGCUGCCCACAAGGACACUCCAGACCACAAACCUAAGAGCAAGAAAAGAAAGUCCCGGAUAGAAAGGAAGAGUAAAACAACACAAGUGCCCUUGGAGAGGCCACAGACUAUUGCGGUUCAUACUGCCACAACACUUGCCACACUGGCACCGGUUCGUCGAUGCGUCAGAACCCUCCUAAAGUGUAACAUGUGUAAUUUUCAUCACUAUGGAGUCUGCUGAAAGUUACAUUGCAAGAAUUCCAAUAGGAAAGGGCACACUACCUGUUCCUGCAAGGCAUCAACACAACCAAUUCCCCAGACCCCCAACAUCAGAAUGAGUCCGACCUGUUACGAGUGUGAUAAAUCUGGACACUUCAGGAGAGACUUCCCAAUAAUAAGGAACCCUGACAGGGAGGGUAGAGUGCUGACAAUCACUAUAGGAGAGACCCUUCCGAAAUCACCUGCGACCAGCGGUACGUUGUUCCCAAUAAAGAUUUUUAAAGGCUUUAGUCAAUAAUUAUAGAUUACCCAAUCAUCCGAACGAAACAUGUCAAUCGUAUAAAAAAUAAAGGUCUUUGCAGGUGAGCUACGAUGGCUUAAUGUAUAUAUUAGGGUCAUAUAUAAUUAAGAUGCUAAAGGCUUAAAGUGUGUGAUUCCGCCUUAUUUCCUGUUCCUUGUUUGGUUGUGGAUUUAGGACAGAGUCUCUCAGUCGACCGUCUUCCAUUUUAAUUAUACAUGAAUCGUAUACACCGGUUGAUUAUAGAAAGGCCUUGUGGGGACCAUACUAUCAAAUUUCAUCACCAAUACUCGAAGUACUCAUACUGCUACUACUUGCUAAACGUAGUACAAAACAUUCACAAUGGUGACAACAAGGACGAAACUGGUAAUAUUACAAACAUGUAAAUAGAAAACACUAUCAAUUCGAGCAACCAUCCCUUUCAGAUCAAUCCAACACCUAUUACAACAAGGAGCCCAACGGUGUCAAUUGACAUGGGCUGGCUUGAUCUUCACCAUACGAAAUUCAUUUGUCACAAAGAGACCCUUUUCCUUAGUCAAUCGAUUAACAAAAUCCUUACAUCUAAUAACGCUAAAUCCCCGAAUCAUCCCUAGCAUCUAGAUUCCUAGGUACCCAUGUAAGAAAUAACACACUCUUUCCUAGCCCACAAUAGAGAUAAGAAACAUGAAACAAAGGACACCGAGGGUAAUCUAGAGAUUUAUAACCUUUCCGAAGUAGAUCCUAGAAAGUAUUUCGAAAAUACCACCUAUAUGCCAAGAUGAGUUCAGAAUCGACUCAACUCAUGGAACCAUUUCCAGAGCCAGACCACCAAGUCCACUUAGCACCAACAUAAACACCGAAAGUGCUCGGUCGAUGGAACGAUCCUGUAAGUAUGAGAAUUAUUAGACCAAGACUUGAAACUCAGAGAACACUCAUCCGACUCAUAAAAAGAAAAGACUAAUUGUCCAUGGGGCUACUGAAUACUAAGAAUUGAACGAACCCAUCCUCAAGGAUCGAUAUCUCCUAUCUCGAAUCGAAAAAUUACUUGACCCACCCUCAGAAACAAGCAAAGAUCGACCUCCCACUAGUUCGGAAUUCCGUAGUAGGAAACUCCCAAGACAGCCUAAGAAUUAUAGGACCAACUACAUCACGCGACGUUAACCUUAGUGGCAAUAGUGUUUGCCUUAGGGUUAGAGGCACUACUUUUGGGGCGUCAAGUACACGAUCCGCAUUAACCGUGACCAUCCAUUCACUUCACCAUAUAUGAUGCAAAGGCAGAAUACCUUUAUGUUGGGCUGAGAUGACCAACACCCAACUAGCCAAAUGGCAAGUACUCGAUGACACCGUUACCGGCCUCGAAAACACCAAGGAGACAACCGAAGGGAUCACCCAAACUCGAGCAUGACUAAAUGCAUCUAGAACCUAAGAAAGGAACUACGCAAGUAAGCGAAAGAAGCCCUCGGAAUCCCAAAAUAGUAGUCGUACAAUACUAAAAGUCCUUACUUGGAAAUAGAUAAUAUGCUUUGGGAAGGCGUAGGAGAUUAAACCCGAGAUACACCGGACCAUUGAAAACCUUACUGAAGGAUGGUCCAAUGACUUGUAAACUCCGACUACCACCUAAACUUAGCUAAAUACAUCUUGUCUUUCACGUGUCAAACUUGAGGAGAUGCUUGGCUGACGAAACCCUUGUUGUACCACUUGGCGAAAUUGAGGUGAAUGAGGGUCUCCACUUCAUGGGGGAAGCAGUCGAGAUCAUGGAUAGAGUAGUGAAACGAAUGAAACAAAGCCGCAUUCCAAUUGGAAAGGUUCGAUGGAGUGCCAAACACAGACCAAAAUUCACAUGGGAACGCGAGGAUCAAAUGAUGCAGAAAUACCCUCAUUUUUUCUCUAGUGCUUAAGGGCUACUUUUGAAAGAAUUUCGGGAUGAAAUUCCCUCUAACGGGGGGAUGCAUGAUGUCACACCUAGCAAAUUAGGGUUAGGAUUUCUAUCUUUGUGUAAAUCUUGUAAACCUACUUUUGGUGCAAACCAAACUUCAACACUAUACAAGUUUAUACAUCCCAAAAAUUUGAACCAAGUCGAAACUUCCUCGUGUAAGCCCAAGAGCUAACCCAAUAAGCUAUAUCCACUUAACUUUGGGCCUUAGCCCAGGUGUUCUCGGUCCAAACCUCUUAAUGGACCAAAAAUCUUCUAUUGGACCUUAUUGGGCCGUGAACAGCGUCCUUAGACUAAAGUGUGCCAAAUACCUCCAUAGGGUAUUAUUUUGGGCUGAAAACCCUUUAAUGGGUCUUCUAAGACCGAAAAACCUUUAAUGGGCCCCUUUUUAGGCUGGAAACUCUCUUUUGGGCCCUAAUGGGCCGAAAAGUUCUACUGGUCCCGCUCAUUUAACCGAAAACCGCUAUUGGGCCCCUAUUGGGCCAAAAGUUCUCACCUAAACUCCAUAAACUCUUCUUGGGACACUUUUUGGGCGAUCGGUUUUUACAAAAACAAAAAAGAGAAAAGAUAAUAUGUGUAGUAAUGCUUAUGAACUAACCAACAUUCUAUGUUGACGCUUUUCAAAAUAACUUGUAUUCUCAGGGACUCAGUGAACAGGUACAACCCUUGGAUCUGGAUUAUUUUACUACCUUUUGAGCAAUCCUACUUUAUGUUAUUUUGUGUAAUUGUUAAAGAAGUAUAACUUGUAAAACAAUGAUGUAACACUGUAAAUUUUCAAACCAAAAUUUUCAUUUUAAAACACAAUAAAACAAAUGUCACAUUUUCUCAAAAAUCACAAUUAUCAAUUUAUCAUCACAUUUUUCAAAAUUGUUUAUCACAAAUCCAGGAUCCUCCGAUCCUCCGAAAACAUAUCUCCAACACGGGUGUGUGUAUAAUCAAGCCGGUUCCUUCCCACGAUCCUUAGAAGUACCUCAAACACAUAACACAUAACACAGUAAGCACGAAGAUUAGUGAGUUCCCCAAAAUACCACACACAGCUCGUUAGCCACUCGAUGCUAUAACUCAGCACGACCCUCGGGUCAAUGUGUCUUAGUGGGACCCUCCAAUCCCAUAACUCGGGUGGACCCUUCGGUCCUAACUCAGAUGGACCCUCCGGUCCUAAGUUAGUAAGCUCAGAAUAAUACACAACAUAAAUCACAUAGACAUAAUGCAGAUAUCACAAUACUCAAUGUAACACAUAAGACCCUCCAUUCACACAACUCGAAUUACCACUCUAGGUAUGUAUAGUGAGAAGACUCACCUCGUAAGUAAGCAAGUAACAAUCUCGUACGCGAAAUCUCGAACUAGCCUCCGCCUAACACAUAAGGUAAUUAUCUCUAAUUAAUACUCUAUUCAUACUCAAAAUCUACCAAAGGUUGUUCUCUCUCUCUCUCUCUCUCUCUAACUCUUGGAAUAGGCAAAAGACCAUUUUACCCCUCCAUGGUCUCUAUUACUCAUAUUUGACCAAACCCUAAAGUCAACAUAAGUCAAACUCGAGUCAACAUUCCAUGUUUAACCCGAAUCUCCGAGUGCGCCCAUGUGACUCAUCGAGUCCACUUGUUUCCUCAAAAGUCUAGUGAAGAUCUAGCUCAGCUCGUCGAGUUGACCCCCAACUCGCCGAGUUAUCGCAUGAUCAAGCUCAUCGGAACAAACCUAACCGACUUGUCUAGUCGGCUCAUCGACUCGGCGAGUCCAUUCAAACUCAUUUCUCAUUCAGACGAUUUCAAGGAAAAAAACCUUCCCAAACUCUAGAUCCAACCUCCCAAGGUUCGAAUGUCACGUAAAGCUUUGAUCUUUACAUUCAUGCAUGAUAUUUCUCCAUAUUACUAACUACAUUCUACGACAAGGAACUAAAAAUUGAUUUGAUUGAGUGAUUACCUUUCUAUUCAAAGUUGUUCUACUGACAUGGAAAAUCCGAAAACUCUCAAAGUACGAUAAGAGUAGGGUUUUUUAAUCAUAAACGAGUGUAAAAAUAAAAUCAGAUCAAAAUGAGAUCGUUAAAUUAGAUGGUUGGCGAAGCAUUGAAUCAAAUCUCAUAACAUAGAAAAGAAGAGUGACAUUUGGGGAUUUGAUUAAUAGAAACAUGGAGUCAUGGAGACACUUGUACCAGAAACACACGCUAAAACCCAAAGGACC